rnacentral:lncRNA from 1 species
AGAGUACAUGGCUAUACAACGCACAGGCGCAACAAGCAAUGAACGUGUCUUUUUUAUUCUCAACACGGUCGUAUAUUUGUCCUAUAACUAAUAUUUUGUAUUUGCAAUAGUCUUGGUUUCCAGAGCAGGCACAACAACAACCAUUCGUUUUCCCUCAAUUUCAGCCGCGGAUGCCUCAGUGGGGAUUACAUGCUCCGCCACCUCCACCUCAGGUGCUUUAAUUUUGUUAAGGCUUGUCGUUUGUAUUAACCUUUCAAAUCUUGACUAAACUUGAUUUUGUAGGGAUCCGGGGUUAUGGGCCACAACACGCCACAACCGGUGAUACCAGCACCAAGAGGAGCUUCUGGAGGGGAGGGAGCUACUACAUGAGAUGUUAGUUUGACAAACAAUUCGUUUGAAUAAUGGUCAUAUAAACACUGUAGUUAUUAAUGUCUUCUUUCUUUAGACUCCAAACCAGAUAGACGACUUUGUUAAUGACUUCUUCACUUCUGGAGCUAGUGGUCACAACUCAAACAACCCUUAUAUGUGAUUAUUUGACUCUUGUGAUGAAUUGUGAGUUUGUGUUAUAUUGUAAUGGACUAUGUGUGGUCACAACUCAAAUGGCUCCUAUUUGUGAUGGAAUUGUGAGUUUCUAUUAGACUAUAAUGGACUUGUAAGAUAUUUUGGUGAACUGUGAUGUAUUUGUGAAGAAUUGUGAUAUUUUGUGUUAAAUGUGUGUAAUUCUGGAAUUGUUGUUUCUGUCAUAUUAUUGUGACUAGUUGAGUGCCCGUGCGUUGCAACGGGAACAUAUAAUGUCACAGUAAUUUAUGUACAAAUAUGUGUUAUGUUGUUAAGAGAAAAAGUUUCGUAAUCUAUUUGUGGUUCUAGUGAUAAGAUGGAGAGCGAGAAAAUUCAAGCUACGGAAAUACAGAAGAUGAAGAACUGGUCGAAGGUUACCACGCUUUCAGUUCUGUGGGCAUCAGAGAAUCAAAUUCAAAAUUUGCAUAUCCAUGAACUGUUGUUCAAUAAUGAUCGAAACUUGGAAUAGAUUGAAGAGAAACCUCAUCGCAUGGUACAACGGUCUUUACCAAAGCAUGUAUGAAAGAGGACACCCGAAUAUUGCGUAGAUUACAAUGAGGAACCAUUUGCUAUUUGUUAAGAGAUUAGAGAGAGUCAGAGUCCGACGACAAACCAGACCUGCGAACGGGGCUGCCGUGGAUGACUCCAGCUUCUUGCAGGCAGAACCGUCUAAGCUCAGGGCAUCGAUCAGCACAGGCGUGUUCCUUCAGGAUGGUGAGACGUAAGUUGUUAGAUCAGAUCAGAUCAGCACAGGUGUGUUCCUACAAGGGGCGGGGGAAGACAUAGACACUGAGCUCGCGCGCGGGGUAAGAACCACCUGUCGACUAUUUCACCGUUGCCGAGCUGUCCGCUAGUGCCCCUCCCCUAGGAGAAGAUAUUCCAAGUAGCAAAGGAAGACAAGAUCAAGUCACCAUAGUCUUGUACCAACAAAGUGUAUCAAAUAAAGUAAAUGCUGGUAGGCCUUCAGUGUUGGUGAUGUAGAUGAUGGCAGUGAUGACAGGUGACAACAGGAAGAACAGUAUACUACUCAAAAAAGCUGAAUAUAUCUAAACUAAUACCAAUUAGUUAAGGUGGCUGGAUAGAGACAUCAACAGCAAAAUUCUGAUGCAUGAAGUCAGUGGCGAAUCGUUCCAUUUCAGGUGGAUCUGUUGGUUAUUACAGAGCACUGACCAAACCAGAAAGACAGGUCAUUAUGUCACAGAUUUACAAUUUCCUUCGCAGAAGCAAAUUCAUCCCCUGGUCAGGGGACUCUAUGCAGAACACUGAACGCAUCGCCUAGCAAUUUAUUUAACAGCAAUAUUGAGAAGGAACAAAACGCACAAUUAAAAAGGUGAAAAGGGGACCAAUAUGGCAACUGGCAAAGACGCAUAUGCAUUAUUUUUUGGGGGAAUGGAAUCCUGUCCAGAGAAUUAAUAAUAGAUCAACCAAAACUGGAGCAUCCCCCUGGCAAAUGGUUUGGAUCAGUGGAGAAGAAUCUCGCCCGAUGUCGAGGUAUUUCCUCAUGUGGCUUCUCAGCGAAUCAAACCAAGGGACCAGUCAACGGACCGAGAUCUAAGUGGUGGCUCGCGUGCAGGGUUUAAGACCGGUGCGAAUCCAACCCAGAUCACACGGGCGACGCCCAACGAUCGGGCAUAAAGCUGAGAGAAGCCAGGCCAAGCACGCACACCCCGUGCCAAGCAUCACGGAAACCCCCAAUUCCCUGUACCAGGAGCCUAAGAACACCUACACGGAUCGAAACUCUGGGUAGCCUACGACAACAAAAUCCCCAGGAAGCCGAACCCAAUCAGGGUAGACCAACGGAGUGGCAGACGCACGUGAGGACAAAUCGAAGCCCAGGAGGUCUGGAGGAGCGGGACGGUGACGACUGACGACGAGAGACAGAGGAUCGGGGCAAGGGUGGAGGCGAGCCAAGAGAAGGGGACUCACACUCCGCCUGCUACGCCGCCGGCGACGAGCGACUUGCAGAUGGUGAGGAUCUGGUGGCCGCGCGCCUUGACCCCCUCGCGCGCGAGCUUGGCCUCCUCCGCCAGGUUGAAGAUGGUGGUGACGACCGUGUCGCCCCUGCUCUUGCCCACCACGUCCUCCGAUGCCAUAUCCCCCCGCCGGCGCCGCCUAGGAGGAGGGUGGUGGAGGACGCCGAGUCGGGCCAGGGUUGUGGAGCAAGGUCAAGGACUACGGCGGCGAUGUGCCGUCGCGGCCGCGUCUGUAACUGCCUGCUUGCUAAUUUGGUCGUUUCUUUCUGUGACUUGCCAGCCAUUUGGUUGUUAUCAACAAUCUGAAAGUAAUGAUCUGUGGCCUUGGGAAUGUGCAGACUACUUCCAACCAGACGAUCAAUCGGCAGAUGCAGGAUGGGCUGCAGAAUGGGCCGCACCAUCCUUGGGCCGCAUACACCGCUCGGAUAUAGGCACUCCUAUGGUGUUAUUUGAUUAGUGCCAUAUCGGCCACCCAGAGCGUCGAAACGUGACUUAUAAGCGUUGGUGUGUAUUGUUUGUUGCUCAGACUAACGUCUCUGGUGCCACAGCAAGAUGACUUUUUGGCGCGGGGUUGUACGACAGGAGGCAGAACGGGUCGGAGGCAGAACGGCAGAACGAGUCAAAGGCAGACUACUAUUACUUACUUAAUAAGUAGUAGAGAUUAUAUUAUUGUUGAAAUAGCUGUUUUUUACAUUUAUUUUAUAUUUUUUUUCUUUGAAAUUACUUAUUUUCGUUGGCUUUGUGUGGGCUGCCGAAAAUAAGACUGAUAAAAUUUUGACGGCGUGUGAGACGGCCGCCGAAAAUAAGCUAUUUUCGGCGGCCGGUCUCUAGCCACCAAAAAUUAUUAAUUAUUUUAGACUAAUUUUUUUUGGCGACCAAGAGCCCCAAAAAGUAAAUUUUGUUCCUGUAGUGAAUUUUUAUUCAAGAGUGUCACUAUGCUACAAUAUUCUAGUGUAAUACAAUAAUAUUACAUGUACAUACGUACGGGUACGGGUACGUGUUUCACGAAGUGAGGAGCGGGUCGUACGUGUCCGUUGUAUGCAUGGGACGAAUGUAAUGGACGAUCGGCAUCAUCAAUUAAGCUAAGCUUGUUUGUAUGUGCCCGACGGCGACCUGGACUUGUCGAUAUAUAUGCAUCGUGCAUGUAACGUCGUACGCCGGGAUGGCCUGCGACACCGAUUAAUGCAAUUUCGUUAGGCCCACACAGUACAUACGUAGUCGUCGAUCGAUUAUUUGAAUAGCAUAUCUACACAACACAGGCAUGCAUGGGCGAACCUUAUCUUGUGUGACGACGAUAUUGAUAUUAUUGUAUUGGUGUUGAUAUAAAAGUCAUUAGUGCUGGACGAAAUGCUCGUGGCUCGUUGGCUCGUUCGAUUCAUGAUUAAUUCAUGGUCAGCUCGACUCGGCUCGGCUCGUUUGACUUUUUUGACGAGCUGAGCUGACAUUCUAGCUCGGUUCGUUAAUGAGCCAGCUCGGUUCGUUAAAGAGCCAGCUCGUGAGCUAAACGAGCUACCACAUUCUAGCAAAACGAAACUAUUGUUUACGGAAUAAUUAAUGAACAUGUUAUAUGUAUAUGAGGUGUUUAUGUCUUAUGAGUUAAACUAAUGAUUAAUGAAUUAUAUUUAUGUGUUAAAUUAGUCUAUACAAAUAUAAUUGUGGGUUAAACUGAUCAACAUGUAUGUGAAUUGUGAAUUGACGAGUGAUGAAUUGUGCUAAUUUGAUGUUAUAUUGAUGUGGUAUGUGAAACUAUGAGUAUAAUUAUUAUUUUCUAUUGUUAAAUUAGUUUGAAAUUGUCGGGGACCAUAAUUAGGGGUACCCUCAAGACGCCUAAUUCUCAGCUGGUAACCCCCAUCAGCAUAAAGCUGCAGAGGCCUGAUGGGUGCGAUCAAGUCAGGGAUCAGUCCAUACGAGCGACUCGAUCACGCCUCGCCCGAGCCUAGCCUCGGACAAGGGCAGCCGACCCCGAGGGACUUCCGUCUCGCCCGAGGCCCCCCUUUAACGGCGGACACAUCUCCGGCUCGCCCGAGGCCUUGCCUUCGCUAAGAAGCAACCCUGACUAAAUCGCCGCACCGACCGACCGAGUCGCAGGAGCAUUUAACGCAAAGGUGGCCUGACACCUUUAUCCUGACGCGCGCCCCCCGGCAGAGCCGAAGUGACCGCCGUCACUUCGCCGCUCCACUGACCGGUCUGACAGAAGGACAGCGCCGCUUGCGCCACUCCGACUGCAGUGCCACUUGACAGAGUGAGACUGACAGGCAGUCAGGCCCUGCCAAAGGCGCCAUAGGAAACUCCGCUCCGCCCGACCCAGGGCUCGGACUCGGGCUAAGCCCCGGAAGACGGCGAACUCCGCUCCGCCCGACCCAGGGCUCGGACUCGGGCUAAGCCCCGGAAGACGGUGAACUCCGCUCCGCCCGACCCAGGGCUCGGACUCGGGCUAAGCCCCGGAAGACGGCGAACUCCGCUCCGCCCGACCCAGGGCUCGGACUCGGGCUAAGCCCCGGAAGACGGCGAACUCCGCUCCGCCCGACCCAGGGCUCGGACUCGGGCUAAGCCCCGGAAGACGGCGAACUCCGCUCCGCCCGACCCAGGGCUCGGACUCGGGCUAGGCCCCGGAAGACGGCGAACUCCGCUCCGCCCGACCCAGGGCUCGGACUCGGGCUAAGCCCCGGAAGACGGCGAACUCCGCUCCGCCCGACCCAGGGCUCGGACUCGGGCUAAGCCCCAGAAGACGACGAACUCCGCUCCGCCCGACCCAGGGCUCGGACUCGGGCUAGGCCCCGGAAGACGGCGAACUCCGCUCCGCCCGACCCAGGGCUCGGACUCGGGCUAAGCCCCAGAAGACGACGAACUCCGCUUCGCCCGACCCCAGGGCUCGGACUCCGCCCUGGCCUCUGCCGAACAACCUCCGCCUCGCCCGACCCAGGGGCUCGGGCUCGGCCUCGGCCAUGGAAGACAGACUCGACCUCGGCUUCGGAGGAGCCUCCACGUCGCCCGACCUAGGGCACAGGCCCGCCACGUCAACAGGAAGCGCCAUCAUCACCCUACCCCGAGCCGGCUCGGGCCGCAGAGAACAAGACCGGUGUCCCAUCUGGCUAGCUCCGCCAGAUAGGCAAUGAUGGCGCCCCGCUAGCCCUGUGACGACGGCGCCUCUCAGCUCCCUUACGGAAGCAGGGGGACGUCAGCAAGGACUCAACCGCUCCGACAGCUGUCCCUCCGCCAGGCUCCGUUGCUCCUCCGACAGCCACGACAUCACACCAGCAGGGCGCCAAGAUCUCUCCGGCUGCCACAUUGGCAUGUACUUAGGGCGCUAGCUCUCCCUCCGCUAGACACGUAGCACUCUGCUACACCCCCAUUGUACACCUGGAUCCUCUCCUUACGCCUAUAAAAGGAAGGACCAGGGCCUUCUUAGAGAAGGUUGGCCACGCGGGAACGAGGACGGGAUAGGCGCUCUCUUGGGGCCGCUCGCCUCCCUCACCCGCGUGGACGCUUGUAACCCCCUACUGCAAGCGCACCCGACCUGGGCGCGGGACGAACACGAAGGCCGCGGGAUUUCCACCUCUCUCACGCCCGUCUCCGGCCACCUCGCUUUCCCCCCUUCGCGCUCGCCCACGCGCUCGACCCAUCUGGGCUGGGGCACGCGGCACACUCACUCGUCGGCCUAGGGACCCCCCGGUCUCGAAACGCCGACAGUUGGCGCGCCAGGUAGGGGCCUGCUGCGUGCUGACGAACAGCUUCCCGUCAAGCUCCAGAUGGGCAGUCUCGAACAACCUCUCCGGCCCGGGACGGUGCUCCGUUUCGGGAGUCUUGAGUUCAUGUCCUUCGACGGCAGCUACGACAUGAUACUCCUUCCACCGCCGCGCGACAACGACAAUGGCGGCCGACAACCCGCCCGCCGGCGGCGGAAUCGACGACAUCUUCCCCGCAUGGUGGAAGAACAACAUUCGAGCUCGCCCCGUCCUCUCCCCCGCCAACGGAGGAGGAGGCGGGGCAACCAAGGCCAAGCGGGAGGCCGCGCUUCGUCGGCUGUCGAGCGAAUCGACGUCCCCAGCGCUCCAACGGGGGGCGCGUCAGGCGUCGACCUUGCAUUGGAGACGAAGGCGAGCGCCGUUCCCCCGCGACACGCCAAUCCCGAGCAAGUGGACGACGCCAGCGCGCUCGCGGAGGGCUUGCAGGACGCCGCCCUCGUACCCAAGACGACGGUGCAAUCAGUCCCCGACGUGACUAUGUCGCUCCUCGUCGACCAAAAGGUACCGACUGAUUCCCAUCUUACGUCAUUUCGACUCGGCCUCAACCCGCCUAGCGACCUUGCUUUGGCGGGCGCUCUCGUUGAGGCGAGUGCAACCCCUCUGGGGUUUCAUAUGCGGUCGCCUUGGGACCGGCUAACGGACGUCUCGACCUACGGGCCCUCUGGGUCCGAGGAAGACGACGAUCCCAGCAUCUGUUGGGAUUUCUCCGGAUUUGGCAACCCCAGUGCCAUGCGGGACUUUAUGACCGCCUGUGACUACUGCCUCUCCGACUGUUCCGACGGUAGCCGUAGCCUUGACGACGAGGACUGCGGCCCAAGCCGCGAAUGUUUCCACGUCGAGCUAGGGGAUCCCUCCGAAGGCAACCAUCUCGGCAUGCCGGAGGACGGUGAUCUUCCUAGGCCGGUGCCUCGCGCUGACAUCCCGCGGGAGCUAGCUGUGGUCCCCGUUCCGGCGGGGGGUCACGACCCACAGCUCGAGCAAGUCCGCAGGGCGCAGGCCAGGCUUGACGAGGGAGCAGGAGCGCUUGAGUCGAUCCGCCGGGACGUCGGGCAGGUAUGGGCGGGCCAACCCCCGGCCGGAGAAAUACGUCACCUGCCCCAAGGUUUCUAGCGUCGCGUCGCCAACGACGUCAGGGUCAGGCCGCCACCUCCAUCCAGUGGGGUCGGUCAAAACCUGGCAGCCGCAGCGAUGCUCCUCCGCGCGAUGCCGGAGCCAUCAACCACCGAGGGUCGGCGAAUCCAGGGAGAGCUCAAGAAUCUCCCGGAAGGCGCUGCGGUCCGACGGGCCGAGAGUUCUGCCUCCCGAAGGCAGGGAUACCCCUCGGAACCUCAUGUCGCGACCUCCCGAUUCAUGCGGGAAGCCUCGGUCUACACCGGGCGCACGCGCAACACCGCGCCUGCGGCCCCGGGCCACCUCGGCAACGAGCACCAUCGUCGCGACCGUCGGGCCCACCUCGACGAAAGGGUGCGCCGAGGCUACCACCCUAGGCGUGGGGGAUGCUAUGACAGCGGGGAGGAUCGGAGUCCCUCGCCCGAACCACCCGGUCCGCAGGCCUUCAGUCGGGCCAUCCGACGGGCGCCGUUCCCGACCCGGUUCCGACCCCCGACUACCAUCACAAAGUACUCGGGGGAAACGAGACCGGAACUGUGGCUCGCAGACUGCCGCCUGGCCUGCCAACUGGGUGGAACGGACGACGACAACCUCAUCAUCCGCAACCUCCCCCUGUUCCUCUCUGACACUGCUCGCGCCUGGUUGAAGCACCUGCCUCCGGGGCAGAUCUCCAACUGGGAUGACUUGGUCCAAGCCUUCGCCGGCAAUUUCCAGGGCACGUACGUGCGCCCCGGAAAUUCCUGGGACCUCCGGAGCUGCCGGCAACAGCCGGGAGAGUCACUCCGGGACUACAUCCGGCGAUUCUCGAAGCAACGCACCGAGCUGCCCAACAUCACCGACUCGGAUGUCAUCGGCGCGUUCCUUGCCGGCACCACCUGCCGCGACCUGGUGAGUAAGUUGGGUCGCAAGACCCCCACCAGGGCGAGCGAGCUGAUGGACAUCGCCACCAAGUUCGCCUCUGGCCAGGAGGCGGUCGAGGCUAUCUUCCGAAAGGACAAGCAGCCCCAAUGCCGCCCAUCGGAAGAGGCUCCCGAGGCGUCUACUCCGCGCGGCGCCAAGAAGAAAGGCAAGAAGAAGUCGCAAUCGAAACGCGACGCCGCCGACGCGGACCUCGUCGCCGCCGCCGAGUACAAGAACCCUCGGAAGCCCCCCGGAGGUGCUAACCUCUUCGACAAGAUGCUCAAGGAGCCGUGCCCCUAUCAUCAGGGGCCCGUCAAGCACACCCUCGAGGAGUGCGUCAUGCUUCGGCGCCACUUCCACAGGGCCGGGCCGCCCGCAGAGGGUGGCAGGUCCCGCGACGACGACAAGAAGGAAGAUCACCAAGCAGGAGAGUACCCCGAGGUCCGCGACUGCUUCAUGAUCUACGGUGGGCAUGCGGCGAAUGCCUCGGCUCGGCAUUGCAAGCAAGAGCGCCGGGAGGUCUGCUCGGUGAAGGUGGCGGCGCCACUCUACCUAGACUGGUCCGACAAGCCCAUCACCUUCGACCAAGCUGACCACCCCGACCACGUGCCGAGCCCGGGGAAAUACCCGCUCGUCGUCGACCCCAUCGUUGGCGACGUCAGGCUCACCAAGGUCCUGAUGGACGGGGGCAGCUGCCUCAACAUCAUCUACGUCGAGACCCUCGGGCUCCUGCGCGUUGAUCUGUCCUCCGUCCGAGCAGGCGCUGCGCCCUUCCACGGGAUCAAUCCUGGGAAGCGCGUCCAGCCCCUCGGACGACUCGACCUUCCCGUCUGCUUCGGAACGCCCUCCAACUUCCGAAGGGAGACUUUGACGUUCGAGGUGGUCGGGUUCCGAGGAACCUACCACGCGGUACUGGGGAGGCCAUGCUACGCGAAGUUCAUGGCCGUCCCCAACUACACCUACCUGAAGCUCAAGAUGCCGGGCCCCAACGGGGUCAUCACCGUUGGCCCCACGUACAAACACGCGUUCGAAUGCGACGUGGAGUGCGUGGAGUACGCCGAGGCCCUCGCCGAGUCCGAGGCCCUCAUCGCCGACCUGGAGAACCUCCCCAAAGAGGUGACAGACGUGAAGCGUCAUGCCGGCAACUUCGAGCCAGCGGAGACGGUUAAGGCCGUCCCUCUCGACCCCAGUGGCGACACCUCCAAGCAGAUCCGGAUCGGUUCCGGGCUCGACCCCAAAUAGGAAGCAGUGCUCGUCGACUUUCUCCGCGCAAAUGCCGAUGUCUUUGCGUGGAGUCCCUCGGACAUGCCCGGCAUACCGAGGGAUGUCGCCGAGCACUCGCUGGAUAUUCGGGCCGGAGCCCGACCCGUCAUGCAGCCUCUGCGCCGAUUCGACGAGGAGAAGCGCAGAGUGAUAGGCGAGGAGAUCCACAAGCUAAUGGCAGCAGGGUUCAUCAAAGAGGUAUUCCAUCCCGAAUGGCUUGCCAACCCUGUGCUUGUGAGGAAGAAAGGGGGGAAAUGGCGGAUGUGUGUAGACUACACUGGUCUCAACAAAGCAUGUCCGAAGGUUCCCUACCCUCUACCUCGCAUCGAUCAAAUCGUGGAUUCCACUGCUGGGUGCGAAACCCUGUCCUUCCUCGAUGCCUACUCAGGGUAUCACCAAAUCCGGAUGAAAGAGUCUGACCAGCUUGCGACUUCUUUCAUCACGCCCUUCGGCAUGUACUGCUAUGUCACCAUGCCGUUCGGUUUGAGGAAUGCGGGCGCGACGUACCAGCGGUGCAUGAACCAUGUGUUCGGCGAACACAUCAGUCGCACGGUCGAGGCCUACGUCGAUGACAUCGUAGUCAAGACAAGGAAGGCUUCCGACCUCCUCUCCGACCUUGAAGUGACAUUCCGAUGUCUCAAAGCGAAAGGCGUCAAGCUCAAUCCCGAGAAGUGUGUCUUCGGGGUGCCCCGGGGCAUGCUCUUGGGGUUCAUCGUCUCCGAGCGAGGCAUCGAAGCCAACCCGGAGAAGAUCGCAGCAAUCACCAGCAUGGGGCCCAUCAAGGACUUGAAAGGCGUACAGAGGGUCAUGGGAUGUCUCGCGGCCCUGAGCCGCUUCAUCUCACGCCUCGGCGAAAGAGGUCUGCCUCUGUACCGCCUCUUAAGGAAGACCGAGUGUUUCGCUUGGACCCCUGAGGCCGAGGAAGCUCUCGGGAACCUGAAGGUGCUCCUUACAAAGGCGCCUAUCUUGGUGCCCCCAGCUGAUGGAGAAGCCCUCUUGGUCUACGUCACCGCGACCACUCAGGUGGUUAGCGCCGCGAUUGUGGUCGAGAGGCAAGAAGAAGGGCAUGCAUUGCCCAUUCAAAGGCCAGUCUACUUCGUCAGCGAGGUACUGUCCGAGACCAAGAUCCGCUACCCACAAGUUCAGAAGCUACUGUAUGCAGUGAUCCUGACGAGGCGAAAGUUGCGACAUUACUUCGAGUCUCAUCCGGUAACUGUGGUGCCAUCCUUCCCCCUGGGGGAAAUCAUCCAGUGCCGAGAGGCCUCGGGCAGGAUCGCAAAGUGGGCGGUGGAAAUCAUGGGCGAAACAAUCUCGUUCGCCCCUCGGAAGGCCAUCAAGUCCCAGGUGUUGGCGGACUUCGUAGCCGAAUGGGUCGACACCCAGCUGCCGACGGCUCCGAUCCAACCGGAGCUCUGGACCAUGUUUUUCGACGGGUCGCUGAUGAAAACGGGAGCCGGCGCGGGCCUGCUCUUCAUCUCGCCCCUCGGGAAACACCUACGCUACGUGCUACGCCUCCAUUUCCCGGCGUCCAACAAUGUGGCUGAGUACGAGGCUCUGGUCAACGGGUUGCGGAUCGCCAUCGAGCUAGGGGUCAGACGCCUCGACGCCCGCGGUGACUCGCAGCUCGUCAUCGACCAAGUCAUGAAGAACUCCCACUGCCGCGACCCGAAGAUGGAGGCCUACUGCGAUGAGGUUCGGCGCCUGGAAGACAAGUUCUACGGGCUCGAGCUCAACCACAUCGCUCGGCGCUACAACGAGACUGCAGACGAGCUGGCUAAAAUAGCCUCGGGGCGAACAACGGUUCCCCCGGACGUCUUCUCCCGGGAUCUGCAUCAACCCUCCGUCAAGAUCAACGACACGCCCGAGCCCGAGGCACCCUCGGUCCAGCCCGAGGUACCCUCGGCUCAGCCCGAGGCGUCCUCGGUUCAGCCCGAGGUACCCUCGGCCCCCGAGGGCGAGGCACUGCACGUCGAGGAGGAGCAGAGCGGGGCCACGCCUGAUCGAAAUUGGCAGACCCCGUACCUGCAAUAUCUCCACCGAGGAGAGCUACCCCUCGACCAAGCCGAGGCUCGGCGGGUAGCGCGACGCGCCAAGUCGUUCGUCUUGCUGGGCGAUGAGGAGGAGCUCUACCACCGCAGCCCCUCGGGCAUCCUCCAGCGAUGCAUCUCCAUCGCCGAAGGUCAGGAACUCUUGCAAGAAAUACACUCGGGGGCUUGCGGCCAUCAUGCAGCGCCUCGAGCACUUGUCGGGAACGCUUUCCGGCAAGGCUUCUACUGGCCAACGGCGGUGGCUGACGCCACUAGAAUUGUCCGCGCCUGCGAAGGGUGCCAAUUCUAUGCGAAGCAGACCCACCUGCCCGCUCAGGCUCUGCAGACGAUACCCAUCACCUGGCCCUUUGCUGUAUGGGGUCUGGACCUCGUCGGUCCCUUGCAGAAGGCGCCCAGGGGCUACACGCACCUGCUGGUCGCCAUCGACAAAUUCUCCAAGUGGAUCGAGGUCCGACCCCUGAACAGCAUCAGGUCCGAGCAGGCAGUGGCGUUCUUCACCAACAUCAUCCAUCGCUUCGGGGUCCCAAACUCCAUCAUCACUGACAACGGUACCCAGUUCACCGGCAGAAAAUUCUUGGAUUUUUGCGAGGAUCACCACAUCCGGGUGGACUGGGCCGCCGUGGCUCAUCCCAUGUCGAAUGGGCAAGUAGAGCGUGCCAACGGCAUAAUUCUACAAGGGCUCAAGCCCAGGAUUUACAACGACCUCAACAAGUUCGGCAAGCGAUGGAUGAAGGAACUCCCCUCGGUGAUCUGGAGCCUGAGGACAACGCCAAGCCGAGCCACGGGUUUCACGUCGUUCUUCCUGGUCUACGGGGCCGAGGCCAUCUUGCCCACUGACCUGGAAGACGGCUCCCCGAGGACGAGGGCCUACAACGAUCAAAGCAACCAAGCUAGCCGAGAAGAAUCGCUGGACCAGCUGGAAGAGGCUCGGGACAGGGCCUUACUACACUCGGCGCGGUACCAGCAGUCCCUGCGACGCUACCAUGCCCGAGGUGUCCGGCCCCGAGACCUCCAGGUGGGCGACCUGGUGCUUCGGCUGCGGCAAGACGCCCGAGGGAGGCACAAGCUCACAACCCCCUGGGAGGGGCCAUUCGUCAUCGCCAAAGUUCUGAAGCCCGGAACAUACAAGCUGGCCAACAAUCAAGGCGAGAUCUACGGCAACGCUUGGAACAUCAAACAGCUACGUCGCUUCUACCCUUAAGAUGUUUUCAAGUUGUUCAUAUACCUCGCACCCGCGCAAAGUUUGGUCAUCAAGGAAGGGUCGGCCUCGCCUCGGCAAAGCCCGACCCUCCCUCGGGGGCUAAAAGGUGGGGACCCCCUCUGCAUCGAAAUUUUCCUCGAAAAAAGAUAUCUUUUAGCAGAAUAUCUUUCGUGCUUUUUGACUACUUCGAAAAGCGGAUCCUGAAAACGACGGAGUACAUGUAAGCAGCCAAGGCUGACCGAGCCGAGGGACUCCUACGCCUCUGGGAUACGGAUACCUCACUCAUCACCUUCUGCGAUAAGUAACUCGCGUUCGGAUAAAGUGAUUCCGCGGACCGAACAAGUCUUUACGUUCGGAAGCUCUUCUGCCGAAGCGGUCCUUCAAGCCUUCUCGACUGAAUCGGUGACAGGGCCUCAUGGACGGGCGAAAGUACGCGUAAGCGGCAAGGCCGACCGAGCCGAGGGACUCCCACGCCUCCGGGAUACGGAUACCUCACUCAUCACCUUCCGUGAGAAGCAACUCUCGCUCGCACAAACAUCCCUGUUACCGACAAAAAGUCCAGAUGCUCGGAAUAAGAGGAAAGGAGACGCAGCUUUACAACGCAGCGAGGGUGUGUUUUCUGGCCUCAGCGGCCGCAGAAGGCACACGCUACAAGACAAUCUGAUUCUGCAGGCUCGGGUCUUCACGCUGGAAGGGGGCUAGCACCCUCGGCAUCGACGACACCUUCAGCGAGAUCCGACCCAGCCUCGGACGGCGACGCGGUCCAGGGACUUCUCCGGGAAUCCGGCCCGAGAAGGCGGCUCGGCCGGUUACCCCAGGGGCCUCGGCUAACCAUCUUCCAAGGGCGUCAGCCCGGUCCGAGGCCUUUGCUGAUCAACUCCGGCGUCGGUCCCGCUGACGGACAACCCGGCUAGGCUCCGGCCAACCAGGUUUUCAUUUUCGAGCCAACUCCGCCUCUGUUCGCGCUGAUAUCGCUACCCCUGGCCUCGGCUCAUCGAAGAGCGGUCAAGGGGUCUCUUUAACUAAGCUAGAGGAGCCUCAGACAACAAGGUCGAUCGAGCCGAGGGACUCCUACGCCUCCGGGAUACGGAUACCUCACUCGUCACCUUGACACGGGGCGACUCAUGCUUGGUGAAGCGGUUCAGACAAUCAACGGGCGAGACUUAGUGCUCGAAAAUGAGGAAAAAACACGGCUCCGUGCCGAAAUUACAUACAUGUUCAGGCCUCGAUAGCCAUAGUGAACAAAAACACUGGCAUUCAAAGUGCCAUUACAAACGGAACUCCGGUUCCCCCUCCGCAGGUACGAACAACCCCACUCCAUGGGGGAAGGCCUGUGGAGCAAUGGAAGACCGACGAACGGCGCGCCGCCACCUGCUCCAGCAGCGGCGAUGACGACGACUUCUGUUCCGGGGAGCCGAACAGCGGCAGCACUGACCUCAGGGCGGAUGCUGCCGCCAGGAGGCCCCCGCCCAUGCCAAAACUUGUGAGGCAAGGACGGGCAGAAGGCCGUAGAGUUGAAGGUCGGUCCGUGGCCGGCCUUGGCUAUCUCGCCGGCAGAAGAACCUCUUCAAGCUGCCGUGGCGGACGCCGGCGCCGCGAGCGGCUCCGAAGCCACUCGCGUCCGAGAGCCAGGCACGGUGCAGCUGCCAGCGCCACGGACGACGACCGCCCUUCCCUCCGAUCACUGAGUGAAGGAGCGGGCCGCCGCCCACGCGGGGCCGACCUUAACUCGGCACACUCCCCUCCCCAGCCCUGGUGAUGAAAAUCCUUGAGGCUGAGGGAGGGGCAGAGGCCGCAGCCCGGCUCGCUUUCCCCCACCAUCAAGCUGGAGGUCACCAUCUUGGGUGACCGCCGGUGGAGGGGUGCAGCCGGGCUGCAUGAUGAAAAUCCUUGAAGCCGAACGAUGGCUGAAAGGUACCAACUCCCACGGAGUUGCGUUUCCUCCAACGAUGAAGCGAAAAGACGGCGGGUACCCCCCAUCCGGGGGCUUGGAAGGUGGAAAGACGCGACACAUAAGGGAGGAAGAAGACAUGGUCGCCUUCCAAAAGGGGUCACCCUCCUUUUAAAGGCAACUCUCCCUACGUGCGCCCCCAAACGUCACGGGCUGAGUCUUCUCCAACACGCUCCAAGGCCCUCCCCUGCGGCGCUGGGGCUGGGUCCCGCAUGUCCUACAAACCGGCUCAGAGCAGAAGAAGCCAAACCGCCGCGCGUGGCGCACACAACCGCCCAGCAGUUACAAGCGACCCCCCACUUUUGCCCAGACCAACGGGCGGAAGGGGCGGGCAGCCAUGCAGGCGGCAUGCAACCGCGCCAGGUGGACGCGCUUCUCCGACUCCCAACACGCCAGCAUGGGGGCCCAGGCCCACGCGUCACGCAACCGGCGCGCCAGAUGCUGCAUGCAAGCAACUGCACCGCCACUUGCGCCACCACCGCGCCUCUUCGGUUGCGGAACCAAUACCGCGACUCGAGGCGGCCCAGCGCACGACCCAGCAGCGCCAGCCUGGCGCGACGGUCAAUGCGGGCGAAAGUAGGGCGGCAGUAAUGACGGUGGCAGGCGGGCGGGAGCGGCGGUCACGUCGUCGGCCAGGCUCACGUCCCAUCCAGGGGCAGCAAGAGAACCCCCUCUCACGGCGUGAAGAUAGGGCGCCCGUGAUCCGUUCCUCGAACGGCUCACGCACGCGCAGCGGCCACCCCGCCAACCACUCGCCCCGUCGCAUUAACUCUGCGGCGAGACAAGCGGCGCUUCUGGCAGGAGAAGCGGGCGACGCUUCGCCUUCGCCAUAAUAACCGCGCCAAAAAAGGUACGCCACGUCGUUCGAUUUCGUAUCCUUUUCCUUUUUUCCUCUUUCUCUAUCUCUUGCAACAGGGACCGGGAAAGGGGGAUACCCCGAAAAGGAUCCUUCCCUAUGAAGGAACCGGGCUCCGAGCCCCCCCUACUGAUCAGAGGUUCGAAGGCUGGCCCUCCGAGGGGUUCAACAGUCGCCUCAGAUCGCGUGGGCCCUACACCCACUACUGAUCAGAGGUUCGAAGGCCGGCCCCCCGAAGGGCUCCACGGCCGCCUCAGGCUACUCGGGCUCCGCGCCCAUUACUGAUCAGGGGUUCGAAGGCUGGCCCCCGAAGGGUUCACAGUCGCCUCAGACGCCGAGCGAGGGAUGACCAGGGGUACGUUCGAUACAUAACCGAGGCUCGGGCUGCGCUCCCGAGGUACCCUACGACAUUUCCGAGACCAGCGGGAGCGAUCUUGUAACGGAAACCCAUCAGAGGGAGGCAUCGAGCCCUCGGACCCCGUCGCCAGGGGACCGGGUCCGGCAGAUCACCCGCAGGUACUUUUGGGCGUGCCUCUUGGCCCCUAGCCGACCCCCAACGAACGGGGCACGGACGUCCACUCGGAUUACCCGCUUGCAGCUCACCGGAGACACCAUGUUCGGUUCCCAUCGAGGGUAACAUGGCGCUCUCCCCCCCUCCUCCUUGCGGAAAGGCGACGUAGGGGCGUAUGUAAAAAAGCCGAGUCUGUCCCUGAUCGCCCUCUCGCCCUGUGCGGAGGCUCGGGGGCUGCUCUCGCAAACCCGGCUCCGGCCGAACCGUUGACAGCGUCAACAUACCAGCCCGAGAGCUUGGGCCCCGACCGUGCACCCGGGCUACGGCCAGUUCGCAUGAGGGAACAACCAGACUAGCCAAAGCAUUACGCAAGGCAUUAAGACCUCGGGGGAGUGAAACCACUCCUCCGAGGCCUCGGGGGCUACACCCGGCGGGUGCGCUCGCGCGCACCCACCGGAACAAAAUGCAACCGAGAAAGGCUGGUCCCCUUGCAAAAAAGUGCGACGAAAGCCUCCAAGCGAGUGCUAACACUCCCUUCGAGGCUCGGGGGCUACUGUCGGGGACCAUAAUUAGGGGUACCCUCAAGACGCAUAAUUCUCAGCUGGUAACCCCCAUCAGCAUAAAGCUGCAGAGGCCUGAUGGGUGCGAUCAAGUCAGGGAUCAGUCCAUACGAGCGACUCGAUCACGCCUCACCCGAGCCUAGCCUCGAACAAGGGCAGCCGACCCCGAGGGACUUCCGUCUCGCCCGAGGCCCCCCUUUAAUGGCGGACACAUCUCCGGCUCGCCCGAGGCCUUGCCUUCGCUAAGAAGCAACCCUGACUUAAUCGCCGCACCGACCGACCGAGUCGCAGGAGCAUUUAACGCAAAGGUGGCCUGACACCUUUAUCCUGACGCGCGCCCCACGGCAGAGCCGAAGUGACCGCCGUCACUUCGCCGCUCCACUGACCGGUCUGACAGAAGGACAGCGCCGCCUGCGCCACUCCGACUGCAGUGCCACUUGACAGAGUGAGACUGACAGGCAGUCAGGCCCUGCCAAAGGCGCCAUAGGAAACUCCGCUCCGCCCGACCCAGGGCUCGGACUCGGGCUAAGCCCCGGAAGACGGCGAACUCCGCUUCGCCCGACCCAGGCUCGGACUCGGGCUAAGCCCCGGAAGACGGCGAACUCCGCUCCGCCCGACCCAGGGCUCGGACUCGGGCUAAGCCCCGGAAGACGGCGAACUCCGCUCCGCCCGACCCAGGGCUCGGACUCGGGCUAAGCCCCGGAAGACGGCGAACUCCGCUCCGCCCGACCCAGGGCUCAGACUCGGGCUAGGCCCCGGAAGACGGCGAACUCCGCUCCGCCCGACCCAGGGCUCGGACUCGGGCUAAGCCCCAGAAGACGGCGAACUCCGCUCCGCCCGACCCAGGGCUCGGACUCGGGCUAAGCCCCAGAAGACGACGAACUCCGCUCCGCCCGACCCAGGGCUCGGACUCGGGCUAGGCCCCGGAAGACGACGAACUCCGCUCCGCCCGACCCAGGGCUCGGACAUCGGGCUAAGCCCCAGAAGACGACGAACUCCGCUUCGCCCGACCCCAGGGCUCGGACUCCGCCCUGGCCUCUACCGAACAACCUCCGCCUCGCCCGACCCAGGGGCUCGGGCUCGGCCUCGGCCAUGGAAGACAGACUCGACCUCGGCUUCGGAGGAGCCUCCACGUCGCCCGACCUAGGGCACAGGCCCGCCACGUCAACAGGAAGCGCCAUCAUCACCCUACCCCGAGCCGGCUCGGGCCGCAGAGAACAAGACCGGUGUCCCAUCUGGCUAGCUCCGCCAGAUAGGCAAUGAUGGCGCCCCGCUAGCCCUGUGACGACGGCGGCUCUCAGCUCCCUUACGGAAGCAGGGGGACGUCAGCAAGGACUCAACCGCUCCGACAGCUGUCCCUCCGCCAGGCUCCGUUGCUCCUCCGACAGCCACGACAUCACACCAGCAGGGCGCCAAGAUCUCUCCGGCUGCCACAUUGGCAUGUACUUAGGGCGCUAGCUCUCCCUCCGCUAGACACGUAGCACUCUGCUACACCCCCAUUGUACACCUGGAUCCUCUCCUUAUGCCUAUAAAAGGAAGGACCAGGGCCUUCUUAGAGAAGGUUGGCCGCGCGGGGACGAGGACGGGACAGGCGCUCUCUUGGGGCCGCUCGCCUCCCUCACCCGCGUGGACGCUUGUAACCCCCUACUGCAAGCGCACCCGACCUGGGCGCGGGACGAACACGAAGGCCGCAGGAUUUCCACCUCUCUCACGCCCGUCUCCGGCCACCUCGCUUUCCCCCCUUCGCGCUCGCCCACGCGCUCGACCCAUCUGGGCUGGGGCACGCGGCACACUCACUCGUCGGCCUAGGGACCCCCCGGUCUCGAAACGCCGACAGAAAUUAACUAAAAACUAAUUAUUAUGUACAUAUUAUUUUUUUCUGCUCUGUCUCGUGAGCUAAACGAGCCAGCUCGAGCUCGUAAACGAGCCGAGUCGAGCUGACUCUGUGGCUCGUUAACUUAACGAGCCGAGUCAAGCUGACUCGUUAGCUUAACGAGCCGAGUCGAGCUGACUCGUUAGCUUAACGAGCCAGCUCGAACUCGGACGAGCCGAGCCGAGCCGGCUCGUUAUAUAGGUGUACAUUUGGGUCGGGCCUGAUGGGCCGGCCCGAAGCAUGGAAAAAAGCACGGUCCAGGCACGGCACGGUCCAAAAUAUUUAGUGUUGGGCCGGGUUUAGGCCGAGGUCACGGCUCAAGGGCGGGUGCGAGCACGACCCGUUUAAGGUAGACACAAAAUGGCCCAUAUCUAUAUCUAUAUUAUACUUAAAGCAUAUACUUAAAGCACCAGUUUCAACGGUCGUCACGCGUCAUGUUUUUACAAAUAACCCCUCACAGCUAUUUCAAAUUAAUCUGCUGCACGCCUCGCCUAUAGAUGGCCAAACGGCGGUCCGGCACGGGCCAGACGCACGCGGGCCACAACUAUGGCCCAGGCACGUCAUGCCGGCUUGCUGACUGUGUCGGGCCAGCCCGUUAGCCCGUCCCGUUGCCCCAUUUGACAUGCGGCCCACAACUAUGGCCCAGGCACGUCAUGCCGGCUUGCUGACUGUGUCGGGCCAGCCCGUUAGCCCGUCGGAAGAAAGGCAGGAGACACUAGGUGAAGCUGUCUAACCAGUAGAACAUCGUGCUCAGAUGUUUUUAUAUUGAAUAUAAAUUAUAUAUAUACAUUUUUUGUAAAAUAAAAAAAAUAUAAUUGUGUCGAGCCAGGCCAACACUACGGGCCGAGGCUACAGCCCAAGCACGACACGUCAUUCUUGGCUCUUGCAAGCAUUAGGUCGUUUCUGAGACCACAUUAGCGCAAUUGACUCAUUAGUGUUUGAGGUUGCUGAAUUGGAGGUUGCAACAAUAAUUUGUCGCACUAACAGUAAAAAUGAAAGGUUAUUUAUUGGUUUUAAACGUUACUAAUUGCUACGAAGUAGCAUAAUUUAUAUGGAGCGCAUCCAGUUUUUAUUAAUGCCCAACUUUAGCACUUACUCCAUAUUUUAAUUUAUCUUUUUUAUAAGUUUGAGUUCAUGUGACUUAUUUUAGAAACUUGAGCUCACAAACUUUAUCUUAUUUGGUCUCUGUAUGAUGGAAUUAUGUUAUGUUAUAAUCUCUGUUCGUUCAAUCAGUCGUUGUGAACUCUCUUCUAAUCGCUCACUUCAUUGGCCAUAUUGUAUCAAGACAUAUUGGAUGGAGUAAACAAUAACAAAAGUUAGCCAAAUAAAAAAAUAGUAUACGGAGAGUGGAGACAAUCAAUAAAAAAUCUUGAUUUUUUUUGUGGAUAGUUUACAUGGUAUUGUUGUAAGCCGUCGCAACGCAUGGGCAACCGACUAGUAUUUAUUAAAACCACACUUCAUUCCACACUUUUGUAACUAGAGAUAAUGCUAGUUAGAUGUUUUUUGUAGCUUUGAAUUAGAGUAUACGAUGUAAUUUUACUUUUGUUAUGAACGUUAGAUAAUGAACUGAACUUAUGAACUUUGUAUAAAGCUAAUUAUACUCUUUUUCUUUCUAACAAAAUGAUUUAUAAACGAGAUAGUCAUUGCAUAGCUCUGGUAACUUAAUACAAAUAUUAAGUUUACUUUUGGUCAAAUUUAUUUGUCUUAUCUUUUAUUUGUUUUAUUAAAUUUGUUUUGAAUUUAGGGCUCUGAUGUGAAUUUUGGGCCAAAAAUUAAAUUUUGGGCCCUGAUGUGAAUUUCGGGUCAAAAAUUGAAUUUCGGGCUUUUAUAAUUUCGAGUCGCCCGAAAUGAGCCCGGCACGUUUAAGCAAUUACGUGUCGAGCCGUAGGUCGAGGGCUAGGCCCGUGGGCCGGCCCGGCACGGCCCGAAAUUCAAACGGGUCAGAACAGCCCGAAAUUCAAACAAUACGAGUCUUUUCGGGUUUGGGCCGUACCGAGCCGGACGGCACGAAUGUACACCUAUAGCUGGUUAUCCACCUCUAAAAGUCAUUAAUGUCAUGUGAUAUCACAAAUACCUCUCUACAACUAACAGUACGUGAAAGACAAUGAUUAUGUGAUAACAUUUCUUAUCAGUAUUGAUCGUAGCCACAGGCCGCCAUAGGCGAUUGAUGUCAUGAUAAAAAAAAAUUACAACAAAAUAUAAGGUCUCGUCAACCACGCCCAUGUCUCUUGAAGCUGGACUCUAGAUUUUUCAUUUCCGCGGCGGAUGAGCUUUUACUUCCUGCAAGUACCAAUGCAAAGCGCUACGUGUUUUCAUCUAAAUUUUACUUGAAUUUAAUACUUCUACGACACAUUAGCAGAUUUGAUGACAUAAGAAGCUAAUUAUGAAAAGACAGAUAGAGUUUUAUAGUUUUAUAUAGAGAGGAUGAUGAAGGUACGAUGAUAUCGAUAUCGCAGAAUCUGUGUGCAUGCAACACGCAUAUGGAUGUGUUUCACGUGCUCAGGACACCGGAGCGUGACGUGACCACGGUAUGGGACCAUGCAUGGAGCGUAUGGGACCAAUGCAUGGAGCCAUCGACAGGGGAAGAGGCAAAGGGGGGCCAAAGGCUGAAACAUAUAUAAGAGAAUUAUAUAUAUACUAGGUAUCACUAUCGGAAUUUGACUUUUUAUCAAGUGCUAAAUUUUUUACCGAGUGUUUUUUUCGGCACUCGGGAAAGAAAAUAUUUACCGAGUGCCACGCAAAAUCCUCGAUAAAAGUAAACACUCGGCGAAGAAGCUCUUUGCCGAGUGUUUUAUUUUUGACACUCGGCAAAGAGUUUCUUUGCGGAGUGUCUUUUUUUGACACUCGUCAAAGGGCUCUUUGCCGAGUGUCACAAAUACAACACUCGGCAAAGAGCUAUUUGCCGAGUGUUUUUUCCAACACUAGACGAAGACAAUUUAAAAAUCACAUUUUAAAGUAGUAAAUUAAUUCAAAUGAAAAAGUUUUCAACUAAAAAUUUGUAUAACUCAUCAUGAUGUACAAUUUAUAUAUCGAACAUUUCUUCAUAUGAUAAAAUAAAAAUAAAUUUGUUCAUAAAACAUAUAUCUCUCUCGUAGUUUAUGAAAUUACGAGAGAGACGUAUAGAAUUUGUGCAUAUUGUUAGAAUCAUCAUGUGAGAUAAACAAAUGACCAAACAACCAAAAUAAACUUUGUAGAUCUUGAGAAGUUAUAGAAGUUUAUAUUUGACAACUUUUUCAUUUGAAGUCAUAUUGUCAACGAAAACUACAUCUGAAUUUUAAAAAUUUAAAAUUUGAAUUUUAAAAACGACUUCGAAAGAAAAAACCACCAACAUGAAAGUUGUAGGUAUUGAAGAGUUAUGAAACUUUAUAGUUGACAAUGUUUUGGUUUGAAAUCAUCUUUUAUGCAAAACUAUGUUUGAAUUUUGAAAUUUGAAUUUUUCAAACCACCAAAAUAGAAGUUGUAGGUCUUGAAAUGUAAUGAAACUUUGUAAUUGACAAUUUUUUUUAUUUGAAAUCAUCUUAUCAUUGAAAAAUUCGUGUCAAGUUUUAAAUUUAAAAUUUAAAUUUUGUAAACGGUCUCGGAUUAAAAUAAAACUUGUAGAUCUCAAAACGUUAUGCAACUUUAUAGUUGGUCAUAUUUUCAAAUGAACUCAUUUAGUACCUUAAAUAAUCAAAUUACUCUCGGUUUGUUAUAGUACAUGUGGUGUGGUGGUUAUCCCCAAAUCUCUGGAGCAAAAAGGGUGUGGUUCGAUUGUUCGUCCUGCACUAUUUUUUUGCGGGCUUUCGACGUGGGGAUGGUGGAGCCGUGGUAGCACCAGGUGCCCACAUUAGGUUCUUAAUAUAAUAGUAUAGAUAUAUAUAGUUUAAAUUUUGUGUAUCUAAAUAUAUACUCUAAAUUUUGUGCAGCAUAAUUAAUUAAAAGUUUAAUAAAAUAGUUAGUAAUACAUGAUCCAUAACUCUAUUAUAGUAUGUCAAUCAAAGUAUAAAAAAGACAAAGAACAUAAAAUAUAAUAUCCGUUGAACGAUCAAUCGAUGCAUGUAUAUGUCAAACCUAAUUCGCUUGUAGACUCUGAUAUCUGAACCUCACCUCUUUAUGAUUCAUCAUAUCGUCUGGCUAGGCAACUGUCGAUUGCCACUGACCACUUGACUUUUCUCUGUCAUAGCCCCACAACCAAAACCCAAAGAAUGUGAUCACGCGAAGCAGCAGAAUAAGCGCCAACAACUUAUAUAUAUACUACAUUAGAUCUUGUGGAUAAUAAAAUUUACAAAUGUGAACUAAAGUUGUCACCUGAUAGUUGGUGUGUACACGACAAAUUUGACAUGUACCGACGUAGGUUGACGAAUUUUCAUGGAUCCUCGAGGCUAGUUAGAUUUUUGAAUUCUCUCAUAAAUUUGUUAGUUGUGUCAUGAAUACUAGAGUCAUUAUAUAAAAGUUAAAUAUCAUUAGUCGGAUAUUCAUCGUCACGUCAUCUUUAUUAUUUUGGUAUUAUUCUUACGUCACAACUUUAGUUUAAUAUAUCAAUUAGCUAGAAAAUGGACUCAUGAAUUACUAAAAUAAUUUAUAAAGAACUAGAAUUAUUAUUUCAUGUCGAGUGUUUAAACUUGAUAAUAUUAUACAAAUAUAAAAUUAAUGAAUUAAUCGGCUCUCUUUAUAUCGUAAUUCUAGCUCCACCUAUAGCCAUGGACGACCGCUUCGUGCAUAAGAGAUGGUCGGUUGGCAACUAUAUGACGUGGUGCCACUGGCCCACAGUAGAUUAGAAUAUAAACAGAGGGAGAGCAUGUAAAUGGAGCGGUAGAGACCACAUGUGGCUGGUUGGACCUUAUUUAAUCCUAGAUGAUACACUUUGAGAGCCUAAAAAUAAAAAUUUGAUACCUAAAUAUGACAAGAUACACAUGUGGCUGGUUGGACCUUAUUUAAUCCUAGAUUGUAAGUAUUUUGAGAAUUUACGAACAUGAUAACACCCCGAUACGAGUUGAAAGACUAUUUGUACAUUUAUAAUAUCUAUAUCUAUACUAAUUUAUAGUAAUCUAUUAAAAAUUUAACGUAGGCACCUGUUGCUUCACCCUCCGUGCUACCACACCAUGCAAAAAAUAGUGCAAAGCGAGCACUCGAACCCACACACACCCCCUUAUAUACUCCAAACAUUUAGAGAUAACCACCAAACUACAUACCUUAGUAUUUAUAAAUAAAUAAAUAAUUAAUUAAUUAUAUUUGAAUACCCAAUACCUAUUUAUUUAUACUUCUAUACUACUAUAUUAAGAACUUAAUGUGGACACAUGAUGCUAUCACAGCUUCACCUUCCACAUUGAUACUUUGGGCCCGCCCCACGCGCCCCAUCUCCCGUCCCUCUCUCAGCUACUGUCAUGUGGACACACUGACACUCUAGGCCCGCCCCACGCUCUUUGACUAGUUCUCCCGCCCCUCUCUCAGCUACUGCCAUAUGGAUCCCAACGACCACACAACCAACUACUACGCCUGGUCAGCACCCGACCCCACCCACGCAGCUACCACACCGCGCAAAAAAAGUGCAGAGCGAGCACUCGAACUCACACCCCAAGCUCCGGAAAUUUGGGGCAAACCACCAAACCGCACGUACCUUAGUAUUUAUAAAUAAACAACAAUUAUAUUUGAAUAAAUAUCUUAAUACCUAUUUAUAUGAUAUAUAAAAAUCAUAGCAAAGUACGGACAACUGGCUAGUCUAUUAUAAGAACCUAAUGUGUGCAACUGGUGCUACCACGGCUUCACCCUCUGUGAGACCACACAGCUGAAAAAACAGUGCAAAGCGAGCACUCAAACCCACAACCCCUUGCUCCAAAUAUUUGGGGAUAACCACCAAACCACAUAUACCUUAGUGUUUAGAAACAAACAAUAAUAAAUAUCUCAUAAUUGUUUAUCUAUACUACUCUAUCAAGAACCUAACGAGGACAUCUGGUGCUACCACAACUUCACCCUCCACGCUGACACUCUGGGUCCGCCCCACACGUCCCGACUGGUUCUCCUGUCCCUCUCAGCUACUGACCUGUGGAGACACUGAGACUCUAGGCCCGCCCCCAUCUGACUACUGUCCUGUGGACCCCAGUGCACACGCAACCAGCUAUUGUGCCUGCUCAGCAUCCGAUCCCACCCACACAGCUACCACACCGCGCAAAAAAAAGUGCAGAGCGAGUACUCGAAUCCACACCCCCAUCUUAGUGUUUUAAAAAAGUGCAGAGCGAGUACUAGAAUCCACACCUACCAUUUUGGGGUAACCACCAUACCACACGUACCUUAGUGUUUAGAAAUAAACAAUAAUUAUAUUUGAAUAAAUAUCUUAAUACCUAUUUAUAUGAUAUAUAGAAAUCGUAGUAAAGCACGAACAACUGGCUAGUAUAUACAUAUAUAUACAUACAUAGAUAGAUAGAGGCACACACAUGUGGCCCAAAAACAUGUAGCACUGCCCUGCCUAUUAUGUCCAAUUAUAAUGCUACCUACCUCCUGUACAAAUUAAAAGAUCGAAUAGUUACAUGCACUGUGUGAGAGGCACACACAUGUGGGCAAAAAACAUGUAGCACUGCCCUGCCUAUUAUGUCCAAUUAUAAUGCUACCUACCUCCUGUACAAAUUAAAAGAUCGAAUAGUUACAUGCACUGUGUGCCUGUUCGGUUGUGGUUCAUGUGUUACCUAUACCACAUUGUUUUACUCGGACGUGCUGUCCACUGUUCCAGCACUGAGUGCUAUGGUCCAGUCGAACCCUGUGCUGGAUGUAGGAUUUAGUCAAAGAAUAUGCCACAAAAAUAUUCGGUUACAGUUUGGUAAAAUUAUAAUAUACAGUUUGACAAUUUUUUGUUUAUUCGAUAAAUUUUUUAAAAUUUACAAUUUAAAAGUACAAAGACACUAAUAAGUAACAUAAUAAGUUUAAAUAUUAAGCUGGAAACUACAAUCAAUUACAAUAUAUAUAGCUCAAAUACAAUAUUAAUAAUAUAAAAUAUAGGCAAAAAAGAGACUUAAUAUCCUACAUGCAUGCAUGUAACUUUUAUACUAGUGUUUUUAGUUGUUGCUUUUUAUAGAAGAUAGUCUCGACUAUAAUCAUAUUCAUCCACUUUGAAGAAACAAUCAAUUACAAUAUAUAUAGCUCAAAUACAAUAUUAAUAAUAUAAAAUAUAGGCAAAAAGAGACUUAAUAUCCUAAGUGUGUAACUUUUAUACUAGUGUUUUUAGUUGUUGUUUUUUAUAGAAGAUAGUCUCGACUAUAAUCAUAUUCGUCCACUUUGAAGAAACAAUCUGACUUAAUAAAUAUUACUAUACAAUCAUUCAAAUGAUUAUCACCCAUCUUAUAUAUUCUAUAAGUUUGUUUUCACUAAAGUCAUCAUAAAAUAUCCUCACAAGGUUUAACAUCUGAUUAAGCUGGUGCGAAGCAUUGAUUAAACAUUUUUUGUUUAUAUAUAAUACUAUGUAGCAUGAUGUCUAAAUUGUAAAUGUGUCGCAGCAUAUUGGGUAUUACCCUAUAGAUCUAUCUAUGUCGUACUAUGUAGGAGAUGAAUGCUUUUACCUGCCAAAGAAAUGCACAUGGUAAGUUGAACUACUCACAGUUAGUCCCACCAUCUUAACUACGACUCAUUCCAACUUUCUUGAAGAAUCAAAGUUUAACUAAGUUUAUAUAAUAUAUAUAUAUAUAUAUAUAUAUAUAUAUAUAUAUAUAUAUAUAUAUAUAUAUAUAUAUAUAUAUGACAAUGAAUAAGUACUAUAACAUUAUUUGUUAAUUAUUUUUUCAAAACGUAUUUUAUUUGAUGCCAUAAUUUAUAAAUCUCACUAUAAUUUUAAUCAAAUUUAAGAUAUUUCCACUAUCAAAAGUAUAAAAUAAAUUAGAACAGACAAAAUAGUUUGAUAUAGGCAUAAUUCUAGUAGCGAUUCUUGAAUUUAUUUUAUUAAAAGUUCUCGUCCUGAUCCAUUUCAUAAAUUGCACAGUGUGGACCCUAUAAACCCAAUUUAAGUUAUCAUGAUGGUGUCCAUACUUGUGGGCCAGCAGUUAUAUUAGCUGCCAACCACAUGGACGACGGAAGUUGCGGCGUUUGAUUUUCAGGGUUAAAGUUUAGUCUCUAUCUCCUUAAAUAUUUGAAUAUCAAUAUUAAAUAUUAAAUAUAAUUUAAUUACAAAGCAAUUACAUUGAUAAAGAAAAAAAGCAAGACUAAUACAUUAAGGCUUAACUAAUUCAUGAUUAACAAAUAUUUAUUGUAUCAUUAGGGCAAAUUAUGAACUAAUUAGGUUUAAUACAUUCGUCUAGCUCGUUAGUAUAAUUAGUUUUAUAAUUAUACUAUAUUUAAUACUUCUAACUAGCAUAUAAAUAUAAGAUGUAAUAUAGACUAAAGUUUAGUAGAUACAACCAAACAACCCAUUAGAGUAAGUAUAAUAAUAUGAUAUAGACAGACAACAAGAAUGACGCCGGUGCUAGGGGCUAGUGGAAAGCGAUAUUUUCACUAGCGGUUAUUUUGGAACCGCGAGUGGAAAUGUUAUUUUCACUGGCGGUUUCCUUAAAAAACCGCAAGUGGAAAUAACAUUUCUGCUAGCAGUUUGCUUAAUAUAACCGUUAGUGGAAAUGUUAUAUAUAUAUAUAUAUAUAUAUAUAUAUAUAUAUAUAUAUAUAUAUAUAUAUAUAUAUAUAUUAUAUUGAUAUUGAGAGCAACGUGGAAUUAAAUUCUACCAUACAUUUAUAUACAUCAAAGUCUUGUGUCUACAUCCAUCACACAUUCUAUACAUCAAAGUUUUCACCUAAUCUCUAAUAGUUAUCUUGGCUAAGAGAUAACCUACUAAUUUUUGUGAGUAUUCUAAACUCUGGCGUAGCUAAUAUAUCGGUAGUAUCAUGAUAUUUCCAUUUAACAGGAAUGACCUCUUUCAAUAUGAAUGUACAUAGGUCCUCAACUAUGCCAUACAAUGCACCUUCAGUCAUGUUUUCCGGCUUUCCUCGUUUAAAUUCCUGUAAAGUUUAUAAACAUAAUCUAUUUACACUCGAUAACACAUUUGCAUCUUUAAUGACAUAAAUGUAUACAUGCCUAUUACUAAUAAUACCUGGCCAGGGUUCGAUGGCUGUGUUGGUAUUCAACUAAAUUGUGGCACAUGCCCCCUUGUAUUUUGUGAAAUAUGGACCUCCAAAAUCACCUCCAUGCAAGUUGGUUGCGACCAACAGUUCCUGUCGGGAUGAAAAAUAUGUAUUUAUAACAUAAAGCCCACUGGCGGUUGUGUUAAGGUACCGCCAGUGAAAACAUAUUUCUACGGGCGGUUGACUUAACACAACCGCCAGUAGAAAGAGGCUAUUUCCACUUGCGGUUGGUAUAAAAGAACUGCCAGUGAAAAUGCUAUUUUCAUUGACACUCGGCGAAGUUAACAACGGUCAGCUAUAGACGACUGCUGACGACCCUUUGCCGAGGGUCAUAUUUCGUCGAGGGUUUGACACUCGACAAAACCAUCUUUGCCGAGUGCGCCAUGUGUUUCGCCCUCGGUAAACAAGGUUUGUGUCGAGUCGCCGAGAGUGGCACUCGGUAAGUAAUACUAUGUUGAGUGCCCUAUAAAAUACACUCGGUAAAUAAUACUGUCGGGGACCAUAAUUAGAGGUACCCUCAAAACUCCUAAUUCUCAGCUGGUAACCCCCAUCAUCAUAAAGCUGCUAAGGCCUGAUGGGUGCGAUUAAGUCAGGGAUCAGUCCAUUCGAGCGACUCGAUCACGCCUCGACCGAGCCUAGCCUCGGACAAGGGCAGCCGACCCCGGAGGAUUUCUGUCUCGCCCGAGGCCCCCCCUCCGACGGCGAACAUAUCUCCGGCUCGCCCGAGGCCCUGCCUUCGCUAAGAAGCAACACUAACUAAAUCGCCGCACCGACCGACCAAGUCGCAGGAGCAUUUAAUGCAAAGGACAGCGCCGCCUGCGCCACUCCAACUGCAGUGCCACUUGACAGAGUGAGACUGACAGGCAGUCAGGCCCUGCCAAAGGCACCAUAGGAAGCUCCGCUGCGCCCGACCCAGGGCUCGGACUCGGGCUAAGUCCCGGAAGACAGUGAACUCCGCUCCGCCCGACCCAGGGCUCGGACUCGGGCUAUGUCCCGGAAGACGGCGAACUCCGCUCCGCCCGACCCAGGGCUCGGACUCGGGCUAAGUCCCGGAAGACGGCGAACUCCACUCUGCCCGACCUAGGGCUCGGACUCGGGCUAAAACCCGGAAGACGGCGAACUCCGCUCCGCCCGACCUAGGGCUCGGACUCGGGCUCAGCCCCAGAAGACGACGAACUCCGCUCCGCCCGACCCAGGGCUCGGACUCGGGCUCAGCCCCAGAAGACGACGAACUCCGCUCCGCCCGACCCCAGGGCUCGAACUCCGCCCUGGCCUCUGCCGACGACCUCCGCCUCGCCCGACCCAGGGGCUCGGACUCGGCCUCGGCCAUGGAAGACAGACUCGACCUCGGCUUCGGAGGAGCCUCCACAUCACCCAACCUAGGGCACAGGCUCGCCACGUCAACAGGAGGCGCCAUCAUCACCCUACCCCAAACUGACUCGGGCCGCAGGGAACAAGACCGGUGUCCCAUCUGGCUAGCUCCGCCAGAUAGGCAAUGAUGGCGUCCCGCAUGCUCUGUGACGACGGCAGCUCUCAGCCCCCUUACGGAAGCAAGAGGACGUCAGCAAGGACCCAACCGCUCCGACAGCUGUCCCUCCGCCAGGCUCCAUCGCCCCUCCGACGGCCACGACAUCACACCAACUGGGUGCCAAAAUCUCUCCGGCUGCCACAUCGGCAUGUACUUAGGGCACUAGCUCUCCCCCGCUAGACACGUAGCACUCUGCUACACCCCCCAUUGUACACCUGGGUCCUCUCCUUACGCCUAUAAAAGGAAGGACCAGGGCCCUCUUAGAGGGGGUUGGCCGCGCGGGGACGAGAACGAGACAGGCGCUCCCUUGGGGCCGCUCGCUUCCCUCUCCCGCGUGGACGCUUGUAACCCCCUACUGCAAGCGCACCCGACCUGGGCGCGGGACGAACACGAAGGCCGCGGGAUUCCCACCUCUCUCACGCCGGUCUCUGGCCGCCUCGCUCCUUCCCCCCUUCGCGCUCGCCCUCGCGCUCGACCCAUCUGGGCUGGGGCACGCGGCGACACUCACUCGUCGGCCCAAGGGACCCCCCGGUCUCGGAACGCCGACAGUUGGCGCGCCAGGUAGGGGCCUGCUGCGUGUUGACGAACAGCUUCCCGUCAAGCUCUAGAUGGGCAGUCUCCAGCAACCUCUCCAACCCGGGACGGUGCUCCGUUUCGGGAGUCUUGAGUUCAUGUCCCUCGACGGCAGCUACGACAUGAUACUCCUUCCACCGCCGAGUGACAACGACAAUGGCAGCCGACAGCCCGCCCGCCGGCGGCGAAAUCGACGACGUCUUCCCUGCGCGGCGAAAGAACAACAUUCGAGCUCGUCCCGCCUUCUUCCCCACCGACAGAGGGGAAGGCAGGGCAACCAAGGCCAAGCAGGAGGCAGCGCCUCGUCGGCUGUCGAGCAAGUCGACAGCGCCGGCACCCCAACGAGGGGUGCACCGGGUAUCGACUUCGCGCCUGAGACGAAGAUGAGCGCCGUAUCCCCGCGACACGCCAAACCCGAGCAAGUGGACGACGCCAGCGCGCUUGCGAAAAGCCUGCAGGACGUCGCCCUCGUACCUGAGGCGACGGUGCAGUCAGUCCUCGACAUGACUUCAUAGCCGCUCGACGACCAAAAGGUACCGACCGAUUCCCAUCCUACGUCAUUUGGAUUUAGCCUCAACCCGCCUAGCAACCUCGCUUUGGCGGACGCUCUCGUGGAGGCGAGUCCAAACCCUCUGGGGUUCCGCAUGCGGUCGCCUUGGGACCGGUUGACGGACGUCUCGACCUACGGGCCCUCUGGGUCCGAGGAAGACGACGACCCUAGCAUCUGUUGGGAUUUCUCUGGACUUGGCAACCCCAGUGCCAUGCGGAACUUCAUGACCGCGUGUGACUUCUGCCUCUCCGACUGUUCCGACGGUAGCCGCAGCCUCGACGACAAGGAUUGCGGCCCAAGCCGCGAAUGUUUCCACGUCGAUCUUGGGGGUCCCUCCGAAGGCAAUCAUCUCGGCAUGCCGGAGGACGGUGAUCUCCCUGGGCCGGUGCCUCGCGCUGACAUCCCAUGGGAGCUAGCUGUGGUCCCUGUUCCGGCGGGGGGUCACGACCCACAGCUCGAGCAAGUCCACGGGGCGCAGGCCAGGUUCGACGAGGGAGCAGGAGCGCUUGAGCCAAUCCGCCGGGACGUCGGGCAGGCAUGGGCGGGCCAACCCCCGGCCGGAGAAAUACGUCAUCUGCCCCAGGGUUUCCAGCACCACGUCGCCGACGACGCCAGGGUCAGGCCGCCACCCGCAUCUAGUGGCGUCGGCUAGAACCUAGCUGCAGCAGCGAUGCUCCUCCGCGUGAUGCCGGAGCCAUCCACCACCGAGGGUCGGCGAAUCCAGGGGGAGCUCAAGAAUCUCCUGGAAGGCGCCGCGGUCCGACGGGCCGAGAGCACUGCCUCCCGAAGGCAAGGAUACCCCUCGGAACCUCAUGCCGCGACUUCCCGAUUCAUGCAGGAAGCCUCAACCUACACCGGGCGCACACGCAACACCGCGCCUGCGGCCCCGGGCCGCCUCGGCAACGAGCACCAUCAUCGCGACCGUCGGGCCCACCUCGACGAGAGGGUGCGCCGAGGCUAUCACCCCAGGCGUGGGGGAUGCUACGACAGCGGGGAGGAUCGGAGUCCCUCGCCCGAACCACCCGGUCUGCAGGCCUUCAGCCGGGCCAUCCGACGGGCACCGUUCCCGACCCGGUUCCGACCCCCGACUACUAUCACAAAGUACUCGGGGGAGAUGAGACCGGAACUGUGGCUCGCGGACUACCGCCUGGCCUGCCAGCUGGGUGGAACGGACGACGACAACCUCAUCAUCCGCAACCUCCCCCUGUUCCUCUCCGACACCGCUCGCGCCUGGUUGGAGCACCUGCCUCCGAGGCAGAUCUCCAACUGGGAUGACCUGGUCCAAGCCUUCACCAGAAAUUUCCAGGGCACAUACGUGCGCCCCGGGAAUUCCUGGGACCUCCGAAGCUGCCGGCAGCAGCCGGGAGAGUCUCUCCGGGACUACAUCCGGUGAUUCUCGAAGCAGCGCACCGAGCUGCCCAACAUCACCGACUCGGAUGUCAUUGGCGCGUUCCUUGCCGGCACCACCUGCCGCGACCUGGUGAGUAAGUUGGGUCGCAAGACCCCCACCAGGGCGAGCGAGCUGAUGGACAUCGCCACCAAGUUCGCCUCUGGCCAGGAGGCGGUCGAGGCUAUCUUCCGAAAGGACAAGCAGCCCCAGGGCCGCCCAUCGGAAGAUGCUCCCGAGGCGUCUACUUAGCGUGGCGCCAAGAAGAAAAGCAAGAAGAAGUCGCAAGCGAAACGCGACGCCGCCGACGCGGACCUUGUCGCCGCCGUCGAGUACAAGAACCCUCGGAAGCCCCCCGGAGGUGCCAACCUCUUCGACAAGAUGCUCAAGGAGUCGUGCCCCUAUCACCAGGGGCCCGUCAAGCACACCCUUGAGGAGUGCGUCAUGCUUCGGCGCCACUUCCACAGGGCCGGGCCACCCGCGGAGGGUGGCAGGGCCCGCGACGAUGACAAGAAGGAAGAUCACCAAGCAGGAGAGUUCCCCGAGGUCCGUGACUGCUUCAUGAUCUAUGGUGGGCAUGCGGUGAAUGCCUCGGCUCGGCAUCGCAAGCAAGAGCGCCGGGAGGUCUGCUCGGUGAAGGUGGCGGCGCCAGUCUACCUAGACUGGUCCGACAAGCCCAUCACCUUCGACCAAGCUGACCACCCCGACCACGUGCCGAGCCCGGGGAGAUACCCGCUCGUCGUCGACCCCGUCGUCGGUGACGUCAGGCUCACCAAGGUCCUUAUGGACGGGGGCAGCAGCCUCAACAUCAUCUACGCCGAGACCCUCGGGCUCCUGCGCGUCAAACUGUCCUCCGUCCGAGCAGGCGCUGCGCCCUUCCAUGGGAUCAUUCCCGGGAAGCGCGUCCAGCCCCUCGGACGACUCGACCUCCCCGUCUGCUUCGGAACACCCUCCAACUUCCGAAGGGAGACUCUGACGUUCGAGGUGGUCGGGUUCCGAGGAACCUACCACGCAGUACUGGGGAGGCCAUGCUACGCGAAGUUUAUGGCCGUCCCCAACUACACCUACCUGAAGCUCAAGAUGUCGGGCCCCAACGGGGUCAUCACCGUCGGCCCCACGUACAAACACGUGUUCGAAUGCGACGUGGAGUGUGUGGAGUACGCCGAGGCCCUCGCCGAGUCCGAGGCCCUCAUCGCCGACCUGGAAAACCUCUCCAAAGAGGUGCCAGACGUGAAGCGUCAUGCCGGCAACUUCGAGCCAGUGGAGACGGUUAAGGCCGUCCCCCUCGACCCCAGUGGCGACGCCUCCAAGCAGAUCCGGAUCGGUUCCGGGCUCGACCCCAAAUAGGAAGCAGUGCUCGUCGACUUCCUCCGUGCGAACGCCGACGUCUUCGCGUGGAGUCCCUCGGACAUGCCCGGCAUACCGAGGGAUGUCGCCGAGCACUCGCUGGAUAUUCGGGCCGGAGCCCGACCCGUCAAGCAGCCUCUGCGCCGAUUCGACGAGGAGAAGCGCAGAGUGAUAGGCGAGGAGAUCCACAAGCUAACGGCAGCCGGGUUCAUCAAAGAGGUAUUCCAUCCCGAAUGGCUUGCCAACCCUGUGCUUGUGAGAAAGAAAGGGGGGAAAUGGCGGAUGUGUGUAGACUACACUGGUCUCAACAAAGCAUGUCCGAAGAUUCCCUACCCUCUGCCUCGCAUCGAUCAAAUCGUGGAUUCCACUGCUGGGUGCGAAACCCUGUCUUUCCUCGAUGCCUACUCAGGGUAUCACCAAAUCAGGAUGAAAGAGUCUGACCAGCUCGCGACUUCUUUCAUCACGCCCUUCGGCAUGUACUGCUAUGUCACCAUGCCGUUCGGUUUGAGGAAUGCGGGCGCGACGUACCAGCGGUGCAUGAACCAUGUGUUCGGCGAACACAUCAGUCGCACGGUCGAGGCCUACGUCGAUGACAUCGUAGUCAAGACGAGGAAAGCUUCCGACCUCCUUUCCGACCUUGAAGUGACAUUCCGAUGUCUCAAGGCGAAAGGCGUCAAGCUCAAUCCCGAGAAGUGUGUCUUCGGGGUGCCUCGGGGCAUGCUCUUGGGGUUCAUCGUCUCCGAGCGGGGCAUCGAAGCCAACCCAGAGAAGAUCGCAGCCAUCACCAGCAUGGGGCCCAUCAAGGACUUAAAAGGCGUACAGAGGGUCAUGGGGUGUCUCGCGGCUCUGAGCCGCUUCAUCUCACGCCUCGGCGAAAGAGGUCUGCCUCUGUACCGCCUCUUAAGGAAGGCCGAGUGCUUCACUUGGACCCCUGAGGCCGAGGAAGCUCUUGGGAACCUGAAGGCGCUCCUCACAAAGGCGCCUAUCUUGGUGCCCCCAGCUGCUGGAGAAGCCCUCUUGGUAUACGUCGCCGCGACCACUCAGGUGGUUAGCGCCGCGAUUGUGGUAGAGAGGCAGGAAGAGGGGCAUGCAUUGCCCGUUCAGAGGCCAGUUUACUUCGUCAGCGAGGUACUGUCCGAAACCAAGAUCCGCUACCCACAAGUUCAGAAGCUGUUGUAUGCAGUGAUCCUGACGCGGCGGAAGUUGCGACACUACUUUGAGUCUCAUCCGGUAACUGUGGUGUCAUCCUUCCCGCUGGGGGAGAUCAUCCAGUGCCGAGAGGCCUCGGGCAGGAUUGCGAAGUGGGCGGUGGAAAUCAUGGGCGAGACAAUCUCGUUCGCCCCUCGGAAGGCCAUCAAGUCCCAGGUCUUGGCGGACUUCGUAGCUGAAUGGGUCGACACCCAGCUACCAACGGCUCCGAUCCAACCGGAGCUCUAGACCAUGUUUUUCGACGGGUCGCUGAUGAAGACGGGGGCCGGCGCGGGCCUACUCUUCAUCUCGCCCCUCGGGAAACACCUACGCUAUGUGCUACGCCUCCAUUUCCCGGCGUCCAACAAUGUGGCUGAGUACGAGGCUCUGGUCAACGGGUUGCGGAUCGCCAUCGAGCUAGGGGUCAGCCGCCUCGACGCCCGCGGUGACUCGCAGCUCGUCAUCGACCAAGUCAUGAAGAACUCCCACUGCCGCGACCCGAAGAUGGAGGCCUACUGCGAUGAUGUUCGGCGCCUGGAAGACAAGUUCUACGGGCUCGAGCUUAACCACAUCGCUCGGCGCUACAACGACACUGCGGACGAGCUGGCAAAAAUAGCCUCGGGGGAACAACGGUUCCCCCGGACGUCUUCUCCCGGGAUCUGCAUCAACCCUUCGUCAAGAUCGACGACACGCCCGAGCCUGAGGCGCCCUCGGUCCAGCCCGAGGUACCCUCGGCACAGCCCGAGGCAACCUCAGCUCGGCCCGAGGCGCCCUCGGUUCAGCCCGAGGCAACCUCAGCUCGGCCCGAGGCGCCCUCGGUUCAGCCCGAGGUACCCUCAGCCUCCUAGGGUGAGGCACUGCGCAUCGAGGAGGAGCGGAGCGGGGCCACACUUGAUCGAAAUUGGCAGACCCCGUACCUGCAAUAUCUCCGCCAAGGAGAGCUACCCCUCGACCGAGCCGAGGCUCGGCGGGUAGCGCGACGCGCCAAGUCGUUCGUCUUGCUGGGCGAUGAGAAGGAGCUCUACCACCGCAGCCCCUCAGGCAUCCUCCAGCGAUGCAUCUCCGUCGCCGAAGGUCAGGAACUCCUGCGAGAGAUACACUCGGGGGCUUGCGGCCAUCACGCAGCGCCUCGAGCCCUUGUCGGGAAUGCUUUCCGGUAAGGCUUCUACUGGCCAACGGCGGUGGCUGACGCCACUAGAAUUGUCCGCACCUGCGAAGGGUGUCAAUUCUAUGCGAAACAGACCCACCUGCCCGCUCAGGCUCUGCAGACGAUACCCAUCACCUGGCCCUUUGCUGUGUGGGGUCUGGACCUCGUCGGCCCCUUGCAGAAGGCGCCCGGGGGCUACACGCACCUGCUGGUCGCCAUCGACAAAUUCUCCAAGUGGAUCGAGGUCCGACCUCUGAACAGCAUCAGGUCCGAACAUGCGGUGGCGUUCUUCACCAACAUCAUCCAUCGCUUCGGGGUCCCGAACUCCAUCAUCAUCGACAACGGCACCCAGUUCACCGGCAGAAAAUUCUUGGACUUCUGCGAGGAUCACCACAUCCGGGUGGACUGGGCCGCCGUGGCUCAUCCCAUGUCGAAUGGGCAAGUAGAGCGUGCCAACGGCAUGAUUCUAUAAGGGCUCAAGCCUCGGAUUUACAACGACCUCAACAAGUUCGGCAAGUGAUGGAUGAAGGAACUCCCCUCGGUGGUCUGGAGCUUGAGGACAACGCCGAGCCGAGCCACGGGUUUCACGCCGUUCUUCCUAGUCUACGGGGCCGAGGCCGUCUUGCCCACUGACAUCCCUGUUACCGACAAAAAAGUCCAGAUACUCGAAACAAGAGGAAAAGAGAUGCAGCUUUACAACACAGCGAGGGUGUGUGUUCUGGCCUCGGCGGCCGCAGAAGGUACACGCUACAAGACACUCUGAUCCUGCAGGCUCGGGUCUUGACGCUGGAAGGGGGCAGUAGCACCCUCGGCAUCGACAACACCUUCAGCGUGGUCCGACCUAGCCUCGGACGGCGACGCAGUCCGAGGAUCUCCACUCUGAAGGACGACGCCAUCGCCACGCCCGGGCAAUCGCUGCCAGGGACUUCUCCGGGAAUCCGGCCCGAGCAGGCGGCUCGGCCGGUUACCCCUGGGGCCUCGGCCAACCAUCUUCCAAGGGCGCUAGCCCGACCCGAGGCCUCGGCUGGUCAACUCCGGCGUCGGUCCCGCUAACGGGCAACCCAGCUAGGCUCCGGCCAACCAGGUUUCAUUUUCGAGCCAACUCCGCCUCUGUUCAUGCUGAUAUCGCUACCCCUGGCCUCGGCUCGUCGAAGAGCGGCCAAGGGGUCCCUUUAACUAAGCUAGAGGAGCCUCAGACAACAAGGUCGACCGAGCCGAGGGACUCCUACGCCUCCGGGAUACGGAUACCUCACUCGUCACCUUGACACGGGGCGACUCAUGCUUGGUGAAGCGGUUCAGAUAAUCAACAGGCGAGUCUUAGUGCUCGAAAAUGAGGAAAAAACACGGCUCCGUGCCAAAAUUACAUACAUGUUCAGGCCUCGACAGCCAUAAUGAACAAAAACACUGGCAUUCAAAGUGCCAUUACAAACGGAACUCCGGUUCCCCCUACGCAGGUACGAACAACCCCACUCGAUAGGGGAGGGCCUACGGAGCAACAGAAGACCGACGAACGGUGCGCCGUCACCUGCUCCAGCAGCAGCGACGACGACGACUUCUGCUCCGGGGGGCCGAACAGCGGCAGCACUGACCUCAGGGCGGAUGUUGCUGCCAGGAGGCCCCCGCCCAUGCCCAAACUCGUGAGGCAAGGACGGGCAGAAGGCCGUAGAGUUGGAGGUCGGCCCGUGGCCGGCCCUGGCUAUCUCGCCGGCGGAGGAACCUCUUCCAGCUGCCGUGGCAGACGCCGGCACCGCGAGCGGCUCCGAAGCCACUCGCGUCCGAGAGCCAGGCACGGUGCAGCUGCCGGCGCCACGGACGACGACCGCCCUUCCCUCCGAUCACUGAGUGAAGGAGCGGGCCACCGCCCACGCAGGGGCCGACCCCAACUCGGCACACUCCCCUCCCCAGCCCUGGUGAUGAAAAUCCUUGAGGCUGAGGGAGGGGCAGAGGCCGCAGCCUGGCUCGCUUUCCCCCACCAUCAAGCUGGAGGUCACCAUCUUGGGUGACCGCCGGCGGAGGGGUGCAGCCGGGCUGCAUGAUGAAAAUCCUUGAAGCCGAACGAUGGCUGGAAGGUACCAACUCCCACGGAGUUGCGUUCCUCCAACGAUGAGGCGAAAAGACGGCGGGUAUCCCCCAUCCGGGGGCUUGGAAGGUGGAAAGACACGAUGCAUAAGGGAGCGCGAAGACAUGGUCGCCUUCCGAAGGGGGUCACCCUCCUUUUAAAGGCAACUCUCCCUACUUGCGCCCCCAACCGUCACGGGCUGAGUCUUCUCCAACAUGCUCCAAGGCCCUCCCCUGCGGCGCGGGGGCUGGGUCCCGCGUGUCAUGCAAGCCGACUCAGAGCAGAAGAAGCCAAACCGCCGCGCGUGGGGCACACGACCGCCCAGCGGUUACAAGUGACCCUCCACUUUUGCCCAGAUCAACUGGCGAAAGAGGCGGGCAGCCAUGCAGGCGGCAUGCGACCGCGCCAAGUGGACGCGCUUCUCCGACUCCCAACACGCCCAGCAUGAAGGCACAGGCCCACGUGUCACGCAACCGGCGCGCCGGAUGCUUCAUGCAAGCAACUGCACCGCCAAUUGCGCCACCACCGUGCCUCCUCGAUUGCGGAACCAAUACCACGACUCGAGGCGACUCAGCGCACGACCCAGCAGCGCCAGCCUGGCGCGGCGGUCAAUGCGGCCAAAAGUGGGCCGGCAAUAAUGACGGUGGCAGGCGGGCGGGAGCAGCGGUCACGUCGUCAGCCAAGCUCACGUCCCAUCCGGGGGCAGCAAGAGAACCCCCUCUCACGGCGUGAAGACAGCGCGCCCGUGAUCCGUUCCUCGAACGGCUCGCGCACGCGCGACGGCCACCCCACCAACCACUCGCCCCGUCGCAUUAACUCCACGGUGGGACAGGCGGCGCUUCUCGCAGGAAAAGCGGGCGACGCUUCGCCUUCGCCGAAAUAACCAUGCCAAAAAAGGUACGCCACGUUGUUCGAUUUCGUAUCCUUUUCCUUUUUUCCUCUUUCUCUCUCUCUUGCAACAGGGACCGGGAAAGGGGGAUACCCCGAAAAGGAUCCUUCCCCGUGAAGGAACCAGGCUCCGAGCCUCCUUACUGAUCAGAGGUUCGAAGGUUGACCCCCCGAAGGGUUCAACAACGCCUCAGAUCGCGUGGGCCCUACACCCACUACUGGUCAGAGGUUCGAAGGCCGGCCCCCCGAAGGGUUCCACGGCCGCCUCAGGCUACUCGGGCUCCGCGCCCAUUACUGAUCAGGGUUUCGAAGGCUGGCCCCCGAAGGGUUCACAGCCGCCUCAGACGCCGAGCGAGGGAUGACCAUGGGUACGUUCGAUACAUAACCAAGGCUCGGGCUGCGCUCCUGAGGUACCCUAGGACAUUUUCGAGACCAGCGGGAGCGAUCUUGUAACGGAAUCCCAUCAGAGGGAGGCAUCGAGCCCUCGGACCCCGUCGCCAGGGGACCGGGUCCGGCAGAUCACCCGCAGGUACUUUUGGGCGUGCCUCAGGGCCCCUAGCCGACCCCUAACGAACGGGGCACGGACGUCCACUCGGAUUACCCGCUUGCAGCUCACCGGAGACACCAUGUUCGGCGCCCAUCGAGGGCAACAUGGCGCUUUCCCCCCCUCCUCCUUGCGGAAAGGCGACGCAGGGGCGUAUGUAAAAAAGCUGAGUCUGUCCCUAAUCGCCCUCUCGCCCUGUGCAGAGGCUCGGGGGCUGCUCUCGCAAACCCGGCUCUGGCCGAACCGUUGACAGCGUCAACAUACCAGCCCGAGAACUUGGGACCCGACCGUACACCCGGGCUAUGGCCAGCUCGCAUGAGGGAACAACCAGACCAGCCGAAGCAUUACGCAAGGCAUUAAGACCUCGAAGGAGUGAAACCACUCCUCCGAGGCCUCGGGGGCUACACCCGGCGGGUGCGCUCGCGCGCACCCACCGGAACAAAAUGCAACCGAGAAAGGCUAGUCCCCUUGCAAAAAAGUGCGACGAAAGCCUCCAAGCGAGUGCUAACACUCCCUUCGAGGCUCGGGGGCUACUAUCGGGGACCAUAAUUAGGGGUACCCUCAAGACUCCUAAUUCUCAGCUGGUAACCCCCAUCAGCAUAAAGCUGCUAAGGCCUGAUGGGUGCGAUUAAGUCAGGGAUCAGUCCAUUGGAGCGACUCGAUCACGCCUCGCCCGAGCCUAGCCUCGGACAAGGGCAGCCGACCCCGGAGGAUUUCUGUCUCGCCCGAGGCCCCCCCUCCGACGGCGAACAUAUCUCCGGCUCGCCCGAGGCCCUGCCUUCGCUAAGAAGCAACCCUGACUAAAUCGCCGCACCGACCGACCAAGUCGCAGGAGCAUUUAAUGCAAAGGACAGCGCCGCCUGUGCCACUCCGACUGCAGUGCCACUUGACAGAGUGAGACUGACAGGCAGUCAGGCCCUGCCAAAGGCACCAUAGGAAGCUCCGCUCUGCCCGACCCAGGGCUCGGACUCGGGCUAAGUCCCGGAAGACGGCGAACUCCGCUCCGCCCGACCCAGGGCUCGGACUCGGGCUAAGUCCCGGAAGACGGCGAACUCCGCUCCACCUGACCCAGGGCUCGGACUCAGGCUAAAACCCGGAAGACGGCGAACUUCGCUCCGCCCGACCCAGGGUUCGGACUCGGGCUCAGCCCCAGAAGACGACGAACUGCGCUCCGCCCGACCCAGGGCUCGGACUCGGGCUCAGCCCCAGAAGACGACGAACUCCGCUCCGCCUGACCCCAGGGCUCGGACUCCGCCCUGGCCUCUGCCGACGACCUACGCCUCGCCCAACCCAGGGGCUCGGACUCGGCCUCGGCCAUGGAAGACAGACUCGACCUCGGCUUCGGAGGAGCCUCCACAUCACCCAACCUAGGGCACAGGCUUGCCACGUCAACAGGAGGCGCCAUCAUCUCCCUACCCCAAACUGACUCGGGCCGCAGGGAACAAGACCGGUGUCCCAUCUGGCUAGCUCCGCCAGAUAGGCAAUGAUGGCGCCCCGCAUGCUCUGUGACGACGGCAGCUCUCAGCCCCCUUACGGAAGCAAGAGGACGUCAGCAAGGACCUAACCGCUCCGACAGCUGUCCCUCCGCCAGGCUCUAUCGCCCCUCCGACGGCCACGACAUCACACCAACUGGGUGCCAAAAUCUCUCCGGCUGCCACAUCGGCAUGUACUUAGGGCACUAGCUCUCCCCCGCUAGACACGUAGCACUCUGCUACACCCCCCAUUGUACACCUGGGUCCUCUCCUUACGCCUAUAAAAGGAAGGACCAGGGCCCUCUUAGAGGGGGUUGGCCGCGCGGGGACGAGGACGAGACAGGCGCUCCCUUGGGGCCGCUCGCUUCCCUCUCCCGCGUGGACGCUUGUAACCCCCUACUGCAAGCGCACCCGACCUGGGCGCGGGACGAACACGAAGGCCGCGGGAUUCCCACCUCUCUCACGCCGGUCUCCGGCCGCCUCGCUCCUUCCCCCCUUCGCGCUCGACCCAUCUGGGCUGGGGCACGCGGCGACACUCACUCGUCGGCCCAAGGGACCCUCGGUCUCGGAACGCCGACAAAUACUAUGUUGAGUGCCCUAUAAAAUGCACUAGGCAAAGCAUCGUGCACUCGGCAAAGAGCCGGAUUCUGGUAGUGUACGUUACGUAAACCCACGUCACGACGACACGUCAUAUUUGAUUGAAUGAUUACUUAACUAACUUUAGGUCAAAAUUUCGGUAGAGAUUAAAGCACGCCAUGCUUGAUGCAAACAAAUUAUUGUAAGAGCAGGAUAAUAAAAAGGACAGAUAUUUAGUUUUAGUUCAAUUGUAUGCUUGGCAGUGACCCUGGGAGGGACGGGAGGAACCAAAACAUGAGUGUGGCUUAAGGCAAGCAAGGUGGACGAAUAUUUGUCAUCAGCUCACUGCUCACUCAUAUAGCAACGGAUUAUACCUUACUAUCAAUAUACAUGAUCUGACUUCUUCUCUUGCAAUGUUUCUAAAGCAUGUUCAUCUAUUGAUUAUAAACCUGUAUGACACUUGUCUGAAUAAAAAAUUGUAGCCUAUUUUUCUUGUCUCUUAUUUAUCUCAGCAUACACUACCGGAAUCAAUAGCUUUGCCGAGUGCCUGAAGCACUCGGCGAAGCCUUAAAAACACUCGGCAAAGAAGGCUCGGCAAACAGUGCAUCGGCAAAGCCUCCUUUGCCGAGUGCUUUUUGUCAGGCACUCGGCAAAACUCUUUGCCGAGUGCCAGAGAGCACUCGGUAAAGAAAAGUGGCCGUUACGGCGCCGGGUGACGGAGACGGUUUCUUUGCCGAGCGUCUCUUGCGACACUCGGCAAAGAAGUCUGCUUUGCCGAGUGCCUUCCAGGCAGCACUCGGUAAAGAAUACUUCUUUGUCGAGUGUCACAAGAGACACUCGGCAAAGAAACCGCUAGGGAGGGUCCCCAUGUCAGGUUCUUUGCCGAGUGUCUUAAGUGGCACUCGGCAAAGACGAUCUCUUUGCCGAGUGCCAGCGACAUAACACUCGGCAAAGAACCUAAGCCGGUGUCCAGGUCUGUGCUCUUUGCCGAGUGUUAUGACCCAGACACUCGGCAAAGAGCCUCUUUGCCGAGUGUAACACUCGGCAAAGUGACCAGUAUAUACCUUUUUUAUUUGUUUUUUGUAUUCUAUCCACACAAACAGAAGAUAUCACAUAUAUAUCAUAUAUAUACAUCACAGAUAUCAUCACAGACAUAAAUAGCCAACAAAAACAUAAAUAUCCAUCACAAACAUAAGUGUUCAACACACGUAUUAAACACAAACAUAAGUCUCAAAUGUCGCAAGCUCUCACAUAAGUAUCAAACACAGACAUAAGUAUUAUACAUAAGUUUUGAAGUCUAAAACAAUGAAAACACAACACUCAUGGAGGUGGGCGGUUUGACCGGGGCUGCGUUGGGCUGAACCCUUCCGGAGGGUUGUUGGAUGUCGCCCCAGAUUGGCCCUGCACAGAGAAGAGAUUGCAUGUGUUAUACCAGAUGCAUUACAAACAUGUAACUACAAUUUUGAUACUCACAGGAGUGUGGAAGAGAGUAGGGUCAACUGGGGGGAACAAUGGAGGUGGCGGAGCGAUGCCCUGUGCGGCGCCAAGGCUCUGCAUGUACUGGAACAUCUCCGCCAUCCUCUGAUCAGCCGCCGCCCGCUCCGCCAUUAUCCUCGCCUCCAUCUCUUGACGUUCCCUCCUCUCUUCUUCUAGUUGGGUCUGUAAUAUUACAAGCCAACAUUAUAGUAACUCAAAGAGAAGGUAUAUAACUCAAGAAAGGACGAGUUACAUAAGCACUAACCUCGAGUUGCUGUAUGCGAUGCUGUGAGCUGUCGUGCCGAGGUCGUAUGGCUGGACUCGAACCCGUGCUCCUUGCUCUCACCUGAGACAGAGUGGGAGUGGAGGACGAGUCGAUUGCCCCGUCGGCAAUCCAGUACCGCCCAUGUCUCUUGCCUCCUCCGACCCUCAUCAGCACAUCGGGGUCGAUCGGCUCGGUGCUCGGAUCAUAGUCUGGGCCAUGGACCUCCUGCGCCAUGGCGGUGUAGUCAUGGAGGCGGCUGUAGACGACGGGGUUGGUGUAGGCCUCGGGCCCGUCAUCCGGGUUGUAGGUGACGUCGAACGUCGCCUUACCCUUAUGGGCCAUAGCAUAGGCCGAGAAGGUGGAGCAAGGCCUGCCACCCUGUGACGCCGACUGCAACGAAAACCAACGAGAUAGUUAGAAAUAAUAUCUAACUUAGUGCUAUAUAUCUAAAUAAAAAUGGUGGUGUACCCAUGCUUCGGCAUAUUGGCCCAGGCUCCGGCUGCCUUGGUGGUGGGACGGGCCUUGCAUCAUCAAACGUCGUUCCCGGCUAGCUGUGUGUGCCUCGUCCCACUCAGCCGAACACCACCUAUCCACCAUCUGCUCCCAGCAUAGAGGAUGUGCGGCGCACCAAUGUGGAAUCACCUGCAAAGUAAACACAUAAAGUGCAUAUCAGAAGAUAAAAUAAAAUUCAUGCAUGGAGUACUGGUACCAAACAUGCAUGACUUUACCUGCAGGUACUGCUCCCUGGUCAACGACAUGGUUCGGGCUUGAGGUUUGGUCACCUUCUCCCCAAGGACGGAGCCGUGGUAGGUGAUGAUGGCCUGGAUGCGGGCCUCAUAGUGCAUGUCCACAACGAGCUUCUUACAGCUCGUGGUGGCCACCACAUCCGCCCUAGCCUCGUAUCCAGCAUCGCAUCUGAAGAAAUCCUGCAUACAAAAACGAUGUAUCCAUACAUUAUUUCAAGAAUUUGCAACGAAUGCGACAUAUUUUACAUUAUACUAAGACUUACCCACAGCUCUUGCUUCACCCGCUCCGCCUUGUUAUUGAAUUCCCUGCCGUCCCGGUCUACUGCAUCGGGGGCGACGGCGUAGUGGUCGAAGGUGAAGGCUGGGCCCGUCACUCCGGCGUACUCCACAAGUCCAGGGAAGUGUUCCCUGCACAGCAGGCCGAGAAUGUUGUUGGGGGGGCGACGAUGACCCCCAGCAUAAUCCAAAACCGUCCAAGACCUGUCCAAGUGAUAAAUAAAAAGUAUUAGUUUAUAUUAUCAUUUUGAACACAUAAUAUGAACAAGAAUGAAGAACAUAAAGUUACAUACCUCUCCCCUUCUGGCCGAAUCAGAGGCCGUCUGUCCCGAAGUAUGGGACGUGGCGGGAGAUCACGGGGCCUCGCAGGUAGAUGCUCCUCGAACUAGAGCCGCCUGAACCUGAGGCGUCCUGGUGCUGGUCGUCAUCGUCCUGCUGCUGGUCGUUGUCGUCCUGAGGCGCCGCCUGCUGCUGCGCUGCCUGCUCUGCCUCGUCCUGCUGCGCUGCCUGCUCUGCAUCGUCCGCCGUCCUACUCCUCCUCCCCCUCCUCCUCCUCAGGAAACCGCCCACCAUAUUUGUCCAACAACCUGCAAUUAAGAGUAAACAAAUAAGCACAUAUAAAAAGAUGUAUUUAAAAACAGGUGCGAAAUAAAAAGUCAUAUAACAUUACAUCGAUUAAAAAUAAUCCUCAUAUGUGUCGGGGUUAGCCGGAUCAUAACUCUCAUCAUCACUAUCAAGCAUUUCAAUCUCAACACCAUCGGAAGACACAAGUUCGUCAUUAAUGUCAUUGCCUUCAAGGAUUACUAAGUCAUUAUCAUUUUGCACCUCAUCAUCCUCCUCAUCAACAACCAUUUCAAUAUCUACGUCCAUUCCGAUAGCUUCGGUUAAGUCUAUCUCAAAUCGCCCUUCUAGCCCAUCUUCUUGGAAGAACUCUCCAUCAUAUGUGUCCGGAUCUAAGUUGUAAUCUUCAUCGUUAGGAACAGGUAACCUCCCAUGCGGCGAUACCUUAUACACAACAUCCCAGCCCUUAAGAUGUUCUUUCGUUUGACACGCAUAUGGGAGAUAAUACACUUGUGUGGCCUGUUGGGCCACGAUAUAGACAUCGUCUCCUGCUAAGGUGGAAUCUUGUUGAAUUUCGACUAUCCCAUGAUUAGAAUGUGUCCGUCUCGUCACUUGAGGGUCAAACCAAUGACAUUUGAAUAUCACUGGAGUAAGAGGUUUGGAACCAUAAAAAUUGAGCUCAUAUAUUUCUUCAAUUCGUCCAAAAUAAUCGACAUUGUCAAGGCCCGGCGUAAAGACUCCAGAACACGUUGUUUUCCGAUUGGGCCGACUUUUGUCGUAGUGUGUUGUGCGAAAACGGUAUUCAUUGACGUCAUACCCAGAAUAUUUCUUGACCCUAUAAGCAAAGCCGUUGGCUACUUGUCUCAACUCGGCACUCAUAGACGGAUCUCUUUGGCCCUGCAAGUAUUCGCAAGUUAAAAGACGCUAAAUUGAGUUCAAAGACGUAUCUCUUUUACAAACUAAGCACGUACCUUACGUUUGAACCAGGAAAUGAAAUCGGGCAACCCAUUUCUCGCACCCUUUCUAAGAAGAGCGUCAUAUUCCUGUGGAGUGGGGUCCCUUGAUCGACGCCAGAAUUCAUGAAGAAAUUGUUCCAUGUAUGGCGUCACCUCUUCAAGGUUGGUCAAUACGUAUAGCAUGAUAUGUCGCCACUCUUCAUGUGUCAGGGUCUUCGUGGUCAAGCCACUUGCGCUUCCGAGUUGGCCUCGAAAUAUUCUAAGGUUCGAUUCAUUGUCGCCAUCAUUGUAACGAGGGGGUGGAUUAUGCACGCUCGGCAGUUUGUCACCAUAAUAAGUUGUUGUGAAGUUUGAGACCUCCUCUAGAAUGUAUGCCUCUGCAAUGGAAGCCUCGAUUUUGCAUUUAUUUCUACAUUUCUUUCGAAUAGUCUUUAGACAUCUCUCGAUUCGAUAGCACCAACGUCCCUGCAUGGGGCCCCCCAUUCGUGCCUCAUAGGGGAGAUGAAGAAUCAAAUGCUGCAUUGGAUUGAAGAAGCCGGGUGGAAAUAUCUUCUCAAGCUUACACAGUAACACGAGGGCCAAUCUUUCCAAGUCUGCAACCACGGUCCGAGAUAACUCUUUUGCACAAAGCUGACGGAAGAAAUAGCUCAACUCUGAAAGCGUUAGCCAGACAUGCUCAGGGACAUAGCCUCGAACCAUCGCAGGAAGAAUCCGUUCAAUCCAUAUGUGGAAGUCAUGACUCUUCAUCCCUAAGACUCGCAUAGUAGAUAAGUUCACCCCCCUACUCAGGUUAGCUGCAUACCCAUCAGGGAACAUCAACAUCUUGAUCCACUGAAGUACUUCCUUCCUCUGGGCCCUGCUUAGGACGAAAUCGGCCUUAGGCCUUCUCCAUGUCUUUCUGCCACUUGGCGGCUUCAUCUCUAGUUUUGGUCUAUCACAUAACGCUGCUAGAUCCACUCUUGCCUUCACAUUAUCCUUUGACUUAUCAGGAAUGUCCAUAAUUGUUGCCCACAGUGCCUCGGCAACAUUUUUUUCAGUGUGCAUCACAUCAAUGUUGUGUGGAAGGAGCAGGUCGUCAUAAUAGGGGAGCCGAGUCAAGCCAGACUUAUGUGUCCACAUAUGCUGCUCACCAUAUCCCACAAAACCACCUUCUGUAUUGGCCACGAGCCCAUCUAUCUGUUGACGAAUUUCGACACCAGUCGUCGUUGCAGGUGGGCGAUCUGUCACUACGACAUCUUUCGUAAAGUUUUUGAUGUCUAGGCGGAAUGGAUGGUCAGCAGGAAGAAAUUGUCGAUGUUUAUCGAAGGACGAAUAUUUGCCACCCUUUUUCAACCAAAUGAACCUAAGAGCUUCCUUGCAAACUGGGCAUGGGAACUUACCGUGAACACACCAGGCACAGAAUAGCCCAUACGCCGGUAAGUCAUGCAUGGAGUACUGGUACCAAACAUGCAUUCUGAAGUUUGUCUUCGUAGCUCGGUCAUACGUCCAUACCCCUUCCUCCCAGGCACGUACCAAUUCAUCGAUCAAAGGCUCCAUGUACACGCCCAUUUUGUUGCCUGGGUGUCCUGGAAUUAUCAACGACACGAAUAUAUUCUGCCUUUGAAAGCACACACCAGGGGGGAGAUUGAUUGGGAUAACAAACACGGGCCAACAUGUGUACGGGGCAGCGCUCAUUCCAUAGGGAUUGAACCCAUCUGUGGCCAACGCAACACGUGCAUUACGAGCCUCUUCGGCUUUCUCACGGUGAAUGUCAUCAAAGUGUUUCCAUGCUUCACCAUCUGAUGCAUGCACCAUCUUGUCAGGAUUGUAUCGUUUUCCAUUUUUGUGCCAUGUCAUCUGUUUCGCGGAUUCCUCUGUCAUGUAAAGACGCUGGAUCCUCGGUAUGAACGGAAGGUGUCGUAGAAUUGUCAAGGGGAUGUCGAGCUGCCUCUUCUGUCCAUCACCAGAGUCUACCUCCAUAAACCUAGACGAAUUACACUUGGGACAGUACUUUGCCUCCGCGUAUUCUUUCCUAAAUAGCACGCAACCCUUCGGACAAGCAUGAAUCUGCUCAUACGUCAUCUUGAGUGCACGAAGUAGUUUUUGUGCCUCGUACAUGCUCUUUGGCAUAACGUGAUCAUCCGGAAGUAGACUCCCAAUAACCGUCAACAAGCCAUCGAAUGCGUCUCUACUCAUGUUGUACUGCGACUUGAACGCCAUUACACUCCCAAUGGCAUCCAGUUGAGAAACCUUUGUCUGGCCGUGAAGGGGUUUCUGUGCCGCGUCGAAUAUGUCGUAGAACGCCUUUGCAGUCGGCUCUGGCUCGUCAUCCAUACAUCCUCCCGUGUACUGUGCCUCCUGAUAGUCGUUCAACAUAUCUGCUACUCCCGCAUCCGCGUCAUAAUCCUCGACACUUUGUCUCAACACCUCCUCUCUCGUACGAUGCGCUUCACCAUGAAAUAUCCACCGAGUAUAGCCCGGCGUAAAUCCAUUCUUCCAAAUAUGUUCUACCAUGGCCUUCUUUGGUUUUCUUUUCCGAUUGUCACAUUUGCCGCACGGGCAUGGGACUAGCUUCGCCCCUUUAGCAGCUUCGCCAUAUGCCCGUUCCACGAAAUCAUCGGUCUUUCUAAUCCAUUCAGUGGUGACAUCGUUCCUUCCUCUACGGCCCGUGUACAUCCACUCACGGUCCUCCAUCCUCUAACAGAAGCCUAGCAACAGAAAAUUUCGGCAGCACCUCCCCUGCACGGGGAGGUUUCAAAAUCCUGCAAAUAAAACUAUCAGCACGAUGGCUGACAUCCACGCAUAAUUCAACGGCACGAUGGCCGGCAAUCAACAAUACUACAUAUUAACCUAAUCAUGCACGUAUAUAAUUAACUUAAUAUUAAAACUAAUCAUUUCAUAUAAAUCAUACACGUAUAACAUAAAUCAAGCAAUCACCUUGGAGGUUUCGUCGCGGGCGAGCCGACGGGGCGCGGGCGAGACGACGGGGCGCGGGCGAGACGACGGGGCGCGGGCGAGACGACGGGUCGCGGGCGAGGCGCCGGGCGGGCGAGGGCACGGCGGGGAAACGGCGGGGUCACGGCGAGGAGUGCGGCGGGGGCGGUGGGCGGGGGCGGUUUCAUGUGUAGUCCUCUUAGGUUUCUACACAUAGUGUCUCACAACUUUCUCCAAACAUUGUAAAAUUUUUAUCACAGCCUCUACGUAUGAUAUCAUGACACGUGGACAAGUUUCAUGAUUUUCUGACUUUGUUUGUGUUUUAUACAAUUUUUAAACAUGUGCAUGCCAAGUUGACGGUCAUGUUUAGUGAGCAUGUUGCUCGAAGUUUCCGGUACGCUUCUGAAAUCGGUCGUAACUUAUGCUAAUUAACAUGAAUAUCAUUUUUUCAUGCACGGUUUUCCAAGUUUCGAGUGACCUGCAGUUC